CCUUCCAAAAUUAAAAAAAAAAAGAGAGCACCUCUACACAAAAUCAUAAUGCACCCACAAUUACACACACACACCAAAUUCAAAAACUUAGCAUAAGAAUAAGGCAUACUUGGACCGUUAUCGAAAUCCCAGCCUCAGUAACAGUAAUGAACUAACACUGAAUCCACGUUUUGAAUUUGAACUAACACUGAAUGGACAUUUUCCAAAAAAAUAUGAAUCCAAGUAAAAUCAAGCUGUUACUUUUACAUAUGCAUGGAUCAACUCAUGCGGGAUCAAAUAUCUGUACUUUUCGACACGGAAAUUACACUUUGUGAAGGUUCACCAACCAAGCACGAAUAAAACCUAUAUAUACAAAACUCUAGUGGCAUUUCACCGAACACAAAGUCUGCGUCUUUACUGAAAACAGAGAAGCUAAACCUGCAAUCACUGAUUAUCUACUAACAUACAAGUACGAAUUACUUACAUUUGGGGAUCGGAUUCCAAGAUACGUUCGAAUUGAUUCAGAAGAUCGACCGUGUUUGCUUCGGAACGACGCAGCUCCUCUCCUUCCAUAUUUUCUGUUUGUUUCCCGAGAAAAUCCAAGGGAAAAAGAAAACCCUAGGGAAAAUGACAGCUUUAUACGAUGUUGGAACAAAAUGGUAAAUUAAUUUAAAAAAGAACUACGUGGAAGUUUUUUAUUCUUUGUUGCAAUAAGUUGCAGGAAAAAGUAAUGAUGCUGGCCGUAGAUGAUCCAGUUUUGGGCCAAUGUCACACUGACACGUAUCCACCUUCUUCGACUCUUCUUCUCUUGUGUAAAAUUUUGGAGCUGCUAUGGCUAUUCUCUCUCUACAAAUCUCUCUCUCUCUCUCUUCUGAGCAUCAAUCGCCGAAGGAUUUUCUCUCAUUUUCCCUCACUUUCUCUCCCGUUUUCUCUCUCGCCAAACACUCCAGUUCCUCAAGGAUCUGAGGUUUCUUCCACUUCAAAUCUCACCUUUUUUUUUUCUCUUCGAAUCGGGCAAAAAGGCAUUGAUUUGAAACGAAUAUUAUAAUAGAAAGGAAAGAGCUUUGGGGGGAUUCGAAUUUCCGAAUCUAGGGUUCCGUGAUCUGUAUAUGCGUCCGAUGACUAUGGGAAUCGUGGUGGAAGCGGCGUCGUUUGACGCCGAGCUGUUGCAGCUCAAUGAGGUGUCCCCUUUGGCCCUCAAAUCGAAUCCGAGCUCAAUGAGGCAUUGAUUUGUAAUUAGUUGUUGGAAAUGCUAAAGUUUAUAUAUAUAUAUUUUUUAAUUAGGAUACCUAUGAUUUACAUACUACAUAUUGUUUCAUCUUUUCGGAUGCAUGACAGUUUUUUUCAUUUUCCCGACUUUAUGGUUGCAGGUGACACAACUGCUAACUGAAGCAAAGGCAGGUAGGCCCCUGAAUGUUCAGGGAAAUUCUUCUAGUCCACAUGCCACUGCAGGCAGUACUUUGCCUUCUAUGUUUCCAGCAGGCAGUGCACCACCACUGUCACCAAGAAGUUCAUCUGGAUCCCCUCGCAUUAUGAAACAGAGGAUCGGUCCUUCUCAUUUAGGUUCUCCCCUGAAAGUAGUUAGCGAAUCAGUUAAAGAAGUGAUACCUAUUAAACUAAACAUGGUAAAUACCAAUAUUAAACUAAACAUGGUAAAUACAAAAAAUAUAUAUGAUAAUAUUUGGGAAUUUCUUAUAUAUUCAUUAAUCUUCAAAGUGGAGUAUAUAUAGGAGUUACAAUUGGUAUUACAUAUGUACUUCACCAAUGUGGGAACAAUAAACUGCUAUUUACACUUUAACUAAUGUAUAACUCGCAACACUCCCCCUCAAGUUGGUGCAAAGAUGUCACGCAUGCCCAACUUGUCAAGCGAGUCGGAAACGCACUAUUAGACACAGCCUUAGUAAGAGCAUCAGCAAGUUGAUCUUCAGAUCUCACAAACGGAAACAUAAUAAUUCCAGCAUCCAAUUUUUCCUUAAUGAAAUGUCGAUCAAUCUCCACAUGUUUUGUUCGAUCAUGUUGCACUGGAUUAUGAGCAAUCUCAAUAGCAGCCUUGUUAUCAUAAUGAAGUUUCAUAGCACCUUUGUGUUUAAACUCAAGAUCUCUCAACAAUUUUUCCAACCACAACAACUCACAUACACCAUGAGACAUACCACGAAACUCAGCUUCUGCACUUGACUUAGCCACCACUUUUUGUUUCUUGCUUAUCCAAGUAACUAAAUUACCACCCACAAACAUAAAGUAUCCAGAUGUAGAUCGCCGAUCAGUGAUAGAAUCUGCCCAAUUUGCAUCUAUAUACCCUUCGACAUUCAAAUGAUCAUUCUUGGAGAAAACCAGGCAUCUGCCAGGAGCCAUCUUCAAGUACCUCAAAAUACGGGUUACUGCAUCCAUAUGAGCUUCACUAGGUGAGUGCAUAAACUGACUUACCACACUAACUGCAUAAGCAAUGUCAGGGCGAGUGUGAGACAAAUAAAUUAAUCUCACCACAAGCCUUUGAUACCGUUCCUUAUGAGUAGGAACUUGAUCUGGAAAUAAGCCCAGACGAUGAUUCUGCUCAAUCGGAGUAUCAACAGGUUUGCAAUCUAACAUACAUGUUUCAGCUAACAAAUCAAGAACAUACUUCCUUCCAAGAAAAUACUUCAAUUCACCCAAUUCUUUCAUCUCAAACUCAGUAGCUAGGUACUUUUGAAGGUGCUGUAUCUCUUUCUGAUCAUCACCAGUCACUAUCAUGUCAUCAACAUAAAUAAUCAAUGCAGUUAGCUUACCAUUUUGUCGCUUUAGAAACAAAGUAUGAUCUGAAUGACUUUGGAUAUACCCAAACUUCUUCAUUAAACUUGUAAACCUCCCAAACCAUGCUCUAGGAGAUUGUUUCAAACCAUACAAGGCUUUUCGUAACCUGCAUACAACACCUUUUUCAGGAGACGUUCCAAUACCAGGUGGGAGAUCCAUAUACACUUACUCCUUAAGAUCACCUUGAAGGAAAGCAUUCUUAACAUCAAACUGCAACAGAGGCCAAUCCUGGUUUGCUACUAAGGACAGAAGAACACGCACAAUAUUAAGUUUGGCAACAGGAGCAAAGGUCUCCUGAUAGUCCACCCCAUAGGUUUGAGUAUAAUCCUUAGCAACUAAUCUGGCUUUAUACCGAUCAAUAGAAACAUCUACUUUGUGCUUAAUAGUAAACACCCAUCUACAUCCAAUGACUUUCUUCCCAUUUGGUAAUGGAACCAAAUCCUAAGUAGAAUUCUUUUUCAAAGCUUCCAUCUCAACUUUCAUGGCAUUAACCCACUUAGGGUCAGACAAAGCAUCUUGCAAUUUUGUUGGAAUUGAUACACUAGAUAGCUGACAUAUGUAAGAUGCAUAUGGUUGGGACAAACGAUGAGUAGACACAUAAUUGUUGAUAGGAUAUUUGGCUUUAACAUGCAUAUCAGGCUCAUAUUGUACUUUAGGUUUUCCACGAUUAGCUCGUGGAGGCAACUGAUAAGUAGAAGAAUCGUCAGAAUUUACCUCAUGUAUGCCACCAUCUUAUACCAAACUGUUAGAAGAAUCAUCACUGGACGAACCAUCAUCAGACAACUCGUUAGACAUAUCAGCAGCAGGCAACCGAUCAUCAGAAGGUAAUUCAUCAGACAUACUAACAGGCAAUUUGCUGGGCACAUCUGAUUUGUCGUUAGUAGAAAUAGUUCCGGGAAUGACAGGUGACCGAUCACUAUCUAUAACCGACUGAUUAGUAUCACGCAACAUAAUAGGUUAUGUUCCCAACUCUGUCUGUAACACAUCAUCCAUAUCAUCUCUUCGAAUCUGCACUUCACUCCUCCUCUCCCCCUGAAGUGGAAAGUCGGAAGAGGGCUUUACAAAAUACGAAACUUCCUCUUGGAAGGUGACAUCCAUGGUAAUAUAAGUUUUUUGAGUCGGAGGAUGAUAACACUUAUAGCCUUUUUGAUUGUUAGCAUACCCAAUAAAGACACACCGGAGAGCACAUGCAUCAAGUUUACUCCGCUGAUGAGAGUAGACAUGCACAUACACAAUACACCAAAACACUUUCGGAGGAAGCUUUGAGACAGAAACAAGAGAAACAUGUUUUUGUAGCACAUCAAACGGUGUCUGAAAAUCAAGAACCCUACUUGGAACACGAUUGAUCAAAUACACAGCAGCCAAAACAACAUGACCCCACAAAUGAUUAGGAACACAUUUAUCCAACAUCAAGGAGCGAGCAACCUCCAUUAUUUGACGAUUCUUCCGUUCGGACACACCAUUUUGUUGGGGUGUAAACGGAGUAGUUGUCUGGUGAAUCAUACCAUGAUCACGGAAAAAACAUGCCAAAAUGUGAUUCACAUAUUCUCCUCCGUUAUCAGACCUAAAGACCUUAACUUUGGUCUGAAACUGAGUAGACACCAUUGUACAAAAUUCUUGAAGAAGUAACGGAACAUCACUCUUAUUUUUCAUCAAGAACACCCAAGUUACCCGAGUACAAUCAUCAAUAAAAGUAACAAACCAACAGAAUCCAUUAGAAGUAACUUUCGCAGGACCCCACACAUCAGAAUAUAUCAAAUCAAAUGACAAAGUAGCUGUAGAAUCACUUACAUGAAAUGAAGCACAAUGACUCUUAGCCAUGACACAUGUUUCACACUUGAACUCUGAAUCACUACAAGUGCGAAACAAAGAAGGAAAUAGAUGCUUCAUAUAACUGAAUGAUGGAUGUCCUAAUCGUCGAUGCCAUAACCAAAUUUGAUGUCUGUCAUCCACUUUAGCUCUUAAACUUGAUGAUUAUUUGAACCGGAAACAACAGUAUCCUCCAUAGUCAAGAUGUACAAACCCCCUAUCCUUUUACCAUAACUAAUUAUCUUCUAAGUUUGAAUAUCUUGAAAAUAACAAUACGUAGGGUAGAAGUGAGCAGAACAAUAUAAAGUAUCAAGAAGUUUUCCUACCGACAAAAGAUUGUACUUAACAUCAGGAACAAGUAAAGCACGAACCAGUGAUAAGGUUGGAGUCAGAGAGAUAGUGUCUUCACCCUUCACAGGGGAAAGUGCUCCAUUUGCACUAGUAAUAUACGGAUCACGAACAUAGUCACAUAACUCAUCAAACACUCUAGGGUCACUAGUCACAUGAUCAGUGGCCUCAGUAUCAAUUAUCCAUUUAUUUGUUCCACCAAGAUGCAUAACAACACUAUGAUUAUAUUGAGCCAUUGAACAAAAUCACGAACAAUAAAAGCACAAAAGAUACGCAACGGAAUGAAAACAAUUUAUCAGAAUACUGUAGCAAUCACUGUUCACGGCACUGUAGCAAAGACUAUUCACGGCAAUGUAGCAAUCACUGUUCACGGCACUGUAGAAGACCACAGUUCACGCACUAUAGCAAAGCACUGUACUGUAGCCCGACACUUUUUUUUUUUUUUUCCCACACGGAGGAAAUCACGAAAAAUGUGGGCACAAAAUUAAAGCACACAGGUCACCAAGAGCGAACUGCUCUGAUGCCAUAUUAAACUAAACAUGGUAAAUACCAAAAAUAUAUAUGAUAAUAUUUGGGAAUUUCUUAUAUAUCCAUUAAUCUCCAAAGUGGAGUAUAUAUAGGAGUUACAAUUGGUAUUACAUACGUACUUCACCAAUGUGGGACAAUAAACUAUUAUUUACACUUUAACUAAUGUAUAACUCGCAACAAUACCUCAGGUUUGACAAAUCCUAAUCCUUUUCGGCAAUAAGAGUGGCACUAUUUUUUAUUUCUUUUGUUUUGCGUUGUAUUUGUCAUUUGAACUAUCUAGCUGUAAUGGUUUUCUUUAAUUAGAGGGAAAGGUAGGUUAUUAUUUCUAACUUGGAUUUUGUACCACUUGCAGUUUUACUUUCUAAAUGGUCGCCCGCCUCCAAAUGAACUAAAAGAUCAAUGCUUAUUAGAAUCAAUCAGUUUUUCUCUGGUAACUCAGACGGACUGCAGAUUCAUGGUGAGAUAUACUUAAGAUAUGAGUUUGUGUUGUACAACUAGAAUUAGCUUUUAACUGUCUCCUUGGUCGUACCCAGUGCACAAGGCUCCCGCUUUACGCAGGGUCUGGGAGAGGUGAAUGUCGGCUAGCCUUACCCCCAUUUAUGGAGAGGCUGCUCCCAAGUCUCGAACCCGAGACCUACCGCUCAUGGGCGAAGGCACUUGCCAUCGCACCAAGUGCGACCUCUAACUGUCUCCUUGGUGUAUCAGAAUUUAAAUCAGUUGCUAAGGAUAUAUGCAAGCGGCCCUCAUUCUUCUCCAUAUCUCUUUUCAGAAAAAUUGAUGCUAAGAGCAGUUCCAGCGUUGGCUGGUGCUCGGGGGAAAGGCUAGUGAACAGGGCCAGAUAGCCCGACUGAAGUGCUCCAGCGUGUGGGAACUCGAGGGACAGGGCAAGACUGAGCAACAAGCCCGUGAGGAAUUGCUAGCCCGCGAGCCCGAGUGGAUGUGACGCCAGGGCUGACGUCAUCCUGGCGUCAGCCCAAUUAUAUAUAUAUUUUUGUCAGGCGCGUGCCCCUCACCUGCACGUGGGGGCGCGUCAGCCAACACCUUUUCAGGAGCCGGGCCCACGUCACAAUUUGCCAAUGUUACUGUUGGAAAGACACGUGGCUUCCCACGGUCCGUUUGAUCUCAAUGGUCUAUUGGUAAUAUUCACUUUUUGUCAUUGCUUGUGAAAGGGUGUAGUUUCAAAGUUGUUAUCCCCACCCCCUUUCAAUAUCUUUCCUAGCUGUGGUUUAUCUUAUGUAACCACAACUAUUUUCCUUUACUUUUAAAAUGUCUCGAUUCUUGUUCACCAACCCUAUUACCCCACUUUAAGGUGCAUGAAUCUUUCUCUCUGAAGUGGAUAAACAAUGCCCUUUAUAAGGGUUGAUUGCGGAGAAGGGGUCAAGUAGCUUUCCUGGAGGCGCUUUUUUUUUCUGAGCUGACUUGUAGUGAACUCUUGGUUUAACUAAUAUUGUUACCUCACCUUACUAUAAAUUCUGGGUGGCCCCUGCUCUAGUCAUCCGGACAAGAAAACGGUACAGCUUGAGGAGAAGCUUGAGAUAGAUAUCAUCGGACUUGGGGCGCUUCGUCUUCUUGCUUUUACCUCCUGCCACGAGAACAAUCUUCAUUGUUGUUGCUGGUGUUGAAGUUCGGUUGCUCGGGACGCCUUUCGUUGGGCCUUUAUUUGGCCAAUUCAUUGAUCAAAUAUGGGAUCCUGUACUGCCAUAUGGUUGAGCCAACGAUGAAAACAGUAGGAGAAAAAGAGUGAACCCUCCCCCCCCCCAAAAAAAAAAAGUCUUGUACCCAUGAGAAAGGCUUGUAAUGGUACCAUCAUUGUUGGCAACAAUUUUUGCUGGUGGUGGUUACGACAAGGAAGUUGGGAACAAUGAUGUGGCUGAGGGCUUUGCAGAUCUUAUUGCUUAUGGUCCUUGGAUCUUGGCUAACCCAAACUUUUUUACUUUAUGUUUAUUCAGCUUUAAUUCUGAGGGUAUUUAAGUCUAUUUAAGUGGAUUUUCUGUUAUUUUUGAAAGAUUUUAUAAAAAAUGACAUUUAUGAAAUUGAGUGUUAAAUUUUGGCUAUUAUUGAUAAAAACUCAAUAAAAAUUAUCCCGUAAGUAUACAAGAUUAAGUUUAAGACGUCUUAAUAAUCAGAAGAUGCCUUUAUACAUUAUCCUUUCAUCAAUCAUGUUACAUGACAAAAAAAUGAGGUGUUGACUUAUAAGAACUAGCUAAAGGUAGCAUAUUCCUUUCUUUCUUUGUGGUUUCAACCUAUCCUUGCCCUCCUUACUAAAUCAUGUAACACAAAUGCUAUUCACACAUCCCAUUUUAUUUCUCACACAAAUCUUGAUAAUUUAUGUCUGUUGAUCUUCUUCAAUUCAUUUAAUCUGAUGGUCGAAAAUUAAAAGAGUAUGUAGGAAGUAAAAUGGAAUGUGUGGAUAUCACACCCCUAAAUUAAUUGCGACAAAAUAGAUUUUCAAAUACUUUUAUACAUUUGAGUUUGAGCUCUAUUUUUAUCAAUUACUUUAAUAAGUUGGCGACUACAUGAUGGGAGGAGGCAUGCGUUGAUGCUUAUAGUUGGCGACUACAUGAGAAGAAGAGGGAUUCUCUGAACAUAUUAAAAACCUUAAAUGCAUUAAUAAGUUAAAUUAAACCACCACAGAAACAAGAAAGUUCAAAAAGAGAGAGCAUAUUAUAAACAGAUCAAGGCAUGCAAAAAAAUACACUCUAUCUGCAAACUAGCUGAUUAAACCAGAAAGUUUCCUAGCUUACAUAGUCGUCGUCGUCUUGGGCCUCCUCAUCAUCACCCUCUUCAUUAUCAUCCGCAACUUCUUGGUCCUGAUCAUCGUCUUAUUCCGCCUCGUCCUCAUCAACACCCUCAUCAUUAGCAUCAGCACAUUGUUGGUCCUCAUCAUCGUCUUGUUCCUCUUCCUCCUCAAAAUCCUCCUCAUCAUCCCCAUCAAAAUCCUCAUCGUGUUGUCAUCAUCCUCAUCAAAAUCAUCAUCUUCAUAAUCCUCGUCAAAAUCAUCGACUUCGGUAGAAAUUUCUUGUAAGGCCCGUUCGUAAGGGAUAUAAUGGUAAUCAAAAAACGAACCUUUGAAAGUCAUAAGUUUGUCGCAUACUAAACGUACCCCUAUUUUCUUCACCGGACAAUGUGCAAUAACAUGGACCAAAUCGCUUUCUUCCAAAUUGAACUCGAUUUCCGACAACGAUAAAUUUGCCAGCCAAAUGAUCUCUUCAAAGAAAAAAAAUCUCCUAGUUCAACACAAAAACUAGUACCCUUGGUGUGAUUAAUAACAUAAAUAUAACUCGGCCUGAUGUAAUCACGAGGAACAAAAGCCAGGCACACAGCCAAUGCUUUUGCAUUAGAACCAAUUUCCUUAGGCACUUCAAAAGAGACUUGGGUACCCUCGUUUACAUGAUUGAACCAAGUGGGAAUUUGUCUUCCUACAAAACUCAUGGUUCCACCUCCUGUCCAUCCCUAUACCAUGUGGAACAAGAUUUGUGUGAGUACUACAUACAUAACACACAUAUUUGUGAGGGGGGAAGAGAGGGGGGUGGUGUGGAAGAGAGAGAGUACCUGUAUCGUGCUAUCCUUAAGAAGGAAAUCCAUGACAUUGUUGUGUGUUGUCAUAUAAAGAUUGAGUCCCGAGUUUAACGCGCUAUCCAAGCCUGGAAACUCAAUGAGUUUCGGGGAAAAAAGAAUCACUGCUGUCGACAUGCCUGAAAAAUCUGGCAUUCUUUCUAAUACAGAGCAGUCGUCCAUGUGCAGGAAACCCAAACUUUUUGGUAAAUCUGUAAUCUCAACAAGGUUUCUGCAACCAUUCAAGGAUAAUACAAGAAGCUUGGAGAGGCCACUGAGGCUUGGAAGGCUCCCAAAAUUAUUGUCAUCUAGACUUAACUCCACUAAACAAGGUAGACUACUCCCAAUAUCAUUAGGCACUUCCUCUAUAUUGCUGUCCUCCAAAAUUAAGCUUGUCAAAGAGCGUAAACCUUGUAAGGAAGGUAGCUGCAAAGAACACUUCAAUUUACUCAAAGAUAUGCGCUCGAGCUUCUCUAGUCGUACGAUGGAAGGUGGUACUUUUUUUAUGGCCGUCCCAUCUGCAUAAAGAGUGACCAAUGAUGCCAUUUCUCCCAAGUGCUCAGACAAGCUUUGGAAUCUUGAACAACCAUCGAGAACAAGAGUUUUGACAGAUUUCAACUUGUAGAAACUCCUCGGAAGAGCCUUAAGCGUUUCACAGUCCUUCAAAUUCACCAACACAAGACUCUUGAGAUCUCCGAUGGACUUGUGAACUUUAGCCAACCUCUUACAGUCUUUGAGUAUCAAUUUCUCAAGAUUUGGGAAUUUCGAAAAGUUUGGCGAUUGUGUUAGAUCGUGGGAGUGGCUGAGAUUCAGAAUCUUCAACUUAUCAAGCAACUGUUAAGAAAAAUCAAGUUGAAAUAAAAAAUUUAAAUCCAAAAAGAAGAUACAAAAAACAUAAAAAUAAUUCCAAAUUUGGUUCAGGUUACGCAUUGUACUUACCCCAGAAUACCCACAAAGAACUUGUCUGAGGCUGCUGUACUGCAUGUCGAUAACAACUGUGUUUGGUUGACAAAGUUCUAUUGGUAUGAACUCCAAUGGGAAUCCAUGCCAGCACAACCAUCUUAAUUUUUUGGAAAGAUAUUGGUAUUGCCCAGUGAGCCGAACGUAGUUUAGUUGGAGCAAUCUCAGUCUCUUCAUAUUUCUAAACGCCUCAGUACUGAAACUAGUCUCUUCAGGACUUGGCAAAUUCAAAGCCAGACCUUCAAUUUUUUCAGUUCCCUGCUAUCCGAAAAAACAGACUCCAAAUAAGAGAAGGCUUUGCAUGAAAAAAAGUAUAUUACUAACUUACAUAUGCUUACACAUUUAACAUAAAGUUUGAUUGGGAAAGUACUUACAAAUUUGUCUAUCAAUACAUCAUUUACAUCUUCAGGAUGCCACAAUCUACUCCGUUCUAUAGGGAAAUCAGGAUUUUCUGCAUGCACGAUAUCUCUGCCCAUAUCCCGAAGCAAAUCAUGCAUCAUAAUCUUGUUUUCUCUAUUAAUAGUUACAAGGCACCGGUCAAGGAGGACCUUGAUUCCUGUUGUUGCAUAAAAGCCACAACCAUCCAAGAUUUGUAUGACAUCGUUCUUGUUCAUUCCGAUAAAAAAACAAGCUAUAUCGAGGAAUAUCCGCCUUUUGUAAUUAUCAUUUAGCCUGUUGUAGCUUAUUUUCAGUUGUGCCUGAAUUUCUGCACGAGGAAUUAUUUUCAAUUCAUCCAAUAUACUUCUCCAUUCAUCUACGCUUCGUUUGAAAAGAGUAGAUCCUAAAACUUCAAGAGCCAGCGGCAAUCCUCCACAGUAAUUGACAACUUCUCUUUCGAGCGCAAGAUAUUGACUAGGACAACUACUACUUCUGAAAGCAUGCCAACUUAGGAGCUCAAGAGCUUCUUCUCGGUCCAUUACUUUCGCCUGAUAUAUCUUAUCAACUGCAAAUUCUUUUAGCACACUUUCGUUUCUAGUUGUGAUGAUGAUUCUGCUCCCCGGGCCAAAAAAGUGGCAAUUUCCAACUAAUUCGCGUAAUUGCUUCACAUCGUCUACAUCAUCAACUAUGACAAGUACCUUUAAGCGUCGAAAUCUUUCCCUUACCAAGGCGGUCCCUGCAGCAACACUACUUACCUUUGUCUUGGUUUGCAAGAUAUCAAAAAGAAGUUGUUUUUGCAAUUUUUCUAGUUUCUUUUCCCUCACUUUUUCAAGGAAACUUUUACCUUCAAACCUUUCAUAAAAUUCGUUAUAAAUGGCUUUAGCAAUUGUUGUUUUACCUAUUCCACCCAUGCCUGAAAUUCCAAUCACACGAACAUCAUCUGAAUCUCCGAUGCCUAAAUAAUUACUGAUAUCUAGCACUCGAGUAUCUAUUCCGACUUGAUAGAGCGCUACGUCAAAGUAUUUGUUGUUCAACUUCGUAGUGACGUCAUUGGUAAUCAUCCUGAUAAACUUUGCUUCAUGCCUGGCAUUAGUCAAGUUGAGAAGCAAAACGAAGAUUGUUAUACAACGAAAUCGAACUAAUUAAUACACAAAAUUAUUUAUCAUGACUAGAGAUUUUAAUUAAGACAAUUUUUUUUGAGGUGGUGUGUUUAAACUUAGCAAACAUCAAUUAAAAUUAAAAUAAAGAAACACAAACAAAAAAACCAGCAUCCCUUCCCUCCGCAGCCAAUCGCCGGCAGCUUCCCAGCUGUGAUUAGUGUAGCCUUAACAGUUUAAGCUUUAUUGUAUGAUUUUAUUACAGAGGUCUAAGAAAUCGUAUGAUUCCAAAUUAAUAAGCAAAGGUACGUUAAAGCCUUAAUUCAUAAGAAAAGAAAUUAGAAAGUACCCGUCUAAAGUGUUUCUGAGAUCCCAGCCAGACAAAUUCGAAGCUUCAGUAAGAGCAGCUCUCCACCUCUCUACCUUUUUUCAUCUGUAUGUUUCAGAAACGAUUGUGCAAAACUACAAGUCUGUUUCCUAACAUGCGAAGGAUCAACGUCAUAGAAUAUUGGCAAAACUAAUUGCCCUAGCGUUCUUCUACACUCCAUGAUCUUAACCAGCUCCUCGAGACACCAGCUGGAGUCCGAGUACCGUCUUGAGAAGACGAUGAUAGAGAUCCUAGAACCCUGGAUUGCAUGCACAAGUUCGGUAGUUAUAUCUUCUCCUCUUCUUAGUUCGUCGUCAAUAAAGGUGUUGAUUCCGGCCUUUGUCAAUGCUUCGUGGAGGUGGCCCACGAAGUUUUUACGUGUGUCUUCACCUCUGAAGCUUAUGAACACUUCGUAGAGCAAGCCUUUUGAGAAGGAAGACAUGGAUGGGGAGGUGGAGGCGGAUGAUGAGGAUGAGAUUGAGGGUGAGGAGGUGGAGGAGGACGAUGAGGAGGAGGUGGAGGAGGACGAUGAGGAUGAGGGCGAGGAGGAGGAUGAGGACGAGGUUUUAUCGGGGACGGAGAUAUUCAUUUAGCGAAAGACGAGGCCUAGGGAGUAGAGGAGGAAGAUGAGGACAUCAUAGACAAGAUCGGAAUUGCGAGCCGUAAAGUGGUUGGACACUAACACCAGCACCAAAGUUAACAGCUUCCCUAAGCUCGACCAGGUAUCCAUUUCCUUCAUUUUCUUUAUGCAAAUUGAAGGUUUUUGGCUAUAUUGAUUUUCUUUCUUCUGCAGGACUUCAUUGCAAGAGUUAAUUUGAAAGUACCCUAUUGCAAAAGGGAUCUGACUUCUCUGCCUUCCCACUUCCCAUACAUUCUGAUCCCCUCUUAUUUGUGCGGUCACGGUUAAGCCACGUCAACAUUUUAUAUUACUAUUGACUUUUGUCUUAUUAUCUUUAUAAAAAAAUUAAUAUAAAAUAUUAACGUGGCUUAACCGUGACCGCACAAAAUAAGAGGGGAUAGGAGUGUAUGGGAAGUGGGAGGAGAAAAGUCAGGUUCAUUACGGAAUCUCGGAUUAUGACGACCUCUACCAGUCUUCGUAUUCAAUUUUUUAUGACGACCUCUACCAGUCUUCCUAGUCAAUUUUUUAAUUCAACUUACAAGUUUGGUAGAGAGUGCCAAAUGCAUAUUUGCAGGGUUCUCACUUUCAGUAUGGCUAAAUAUCAAGGAAAAAUAUAUAUUUAUAGACAAUCUAUACUAUAUAUUAAGAAAACCCUCCUUGUCAAAAUUUUCCCCAUUUUUCCAAUUUUGCCCUCACUUUUGAUACACAACCUUGACAAAAAGGAGGGCAAAAUAGUAAUUUUGCAUCUUUUGAGAAAAUGACAAUCAUAUCCCUAUUUUCCCUAUUUUACCCUCACUUUUGAUACACAAUAUUUACAUAAAGAGGGCAAAAUGGUAAUUAUGUAAUAUUAAGAAAAAUAUGCCCUUAUUAGGAGAUCUCAUCAUCAUUGUCUCAUACUCUUUUUAAAAAAUUUAAAAACUAAUCACACUCCUUAAUCUAAAAUAAAAAAGAAAAUGAAAUUGUUCACACACAAAGUGUGUGCUCAUCUUCUAGUUUGGUAUAAAAUAAUCGAAGUUGUUAUGGAAAAUGGCAUCAAGGAUGUUAGAGCAUCCCCAAUGGGGGCUUUAUCCUCCAUGAGGCUACCACAUUUUUAGCCUUAGCGAGAAAUUUCAUCCUCAAUGAGCCAGAAAAUGGGGCUAGAUCCACCACUAGGGCUAGUAACUUCAUUUCUUGGGUAGCAUAAAAUCAGGCUACAUCUAGCCCCAAAAAACAGUGGGUCCCACAAAAAAAGUAGCAACCUAUGUGAGCAAAAUUCUAUCAUUCUCCCUCCACUUGCGAAUACACUCAUACUCUCAUUUUAUUAUUUUUUAAUUCUUUUUUCUUACUUACUUUGCUUGCAAUUUGACUAAUUAAUGAUUGUUUUAAAUUCUAUAAGAAUUAAAAUUUCAAAUUGAUUUAACGUUCAUGAGCAUUGAUGGGUGAAAUUUUCAAAUAUUUUUUUUCAAAAUUAUAUGAUACUAAUUUACCAAUUGGUGUUAGGUAAAAUUAUUGUAUUAUACGUGAAAAUCAAAUUAUUUCAGAAAACGAAGUGAGGGUUUAUUUCUUAUAAUAAAUGAGAUUGAGAUAAGGGAAUCUAAUCUAACAAACAAUUCAUAAGUGAUAAAAUCUAACUUUGUCACAAUUUGAACUUUGUAGGUGGAAGGGUUAAAUUUAAGAUAGCACGUCCAAAAAUCAACUUAAGAAAAGCUAACACAAAAAAAAAAAAAUUCAUUGCUUAAUCAAAUUACUACAUAAAUAAAUAUAUAUAGCCCAUAUAGAGCCCGAAAGAUAUAGCCCCUCAUUGUGAGAGAUUCUUUUAUACAACCCCAAAAAUUUCUUGGAACUAUAAAAUGGGUUGUAUCCAUCACUUUUCCAGCCCCAUAUAAAAUAUUAAAACCCCUCACUGGGGAUGCUCUUAGGAUUGGUAGUUUAAUAGUGGCCUUGUCUUUCAUCAUCGUUACCAUCCGUAGUAGUUGAAGAAUGACUCUGAUAUAUGUCCAACCACUUUGGAUUUAUAUGUCCAACCACUUUGGAUUUACUUGUGCUCUUACUUUAGAAUGUUGAAAAUUCAAACUGCAUCAAAACAACAGAUCAAUUGAUUUUAAAUGUUUAUUUUUUCACAAUUGAUGUUACUUAUUUUUAAGCUAAAUUAAGAGAAUAUAAGUAUUUUAAUUUAUAAUGAACUUAAGUCAAACAAAAACUAUCUAUUCACAAGGACAAUCCACCGCCUUACAUAUCAAACCUUGUACCAAACUCCUUCUAGACCACUCUUCCAUAUGCCCCCGGACCCACAGAAGUGUUUUAGGCUGAACUAGAAAAUGUGCCCGCGCUUCGCUGCGGGGGUUGAAUGCAUCUGUUGUGAGCUUGAAUAAUUUCCACAGAAAGUGGGCAAAAUGGUGGUAGGAACAUAAUCACAUUCUCAAAUGUAGCAAUUCAGUUACCAUAUAUUUGAGUUGAGUGAAUCCAACAAAAUCACCAAUCAACAUACGCAUCGUAUCAGUAAUCAAAAAUUGAAAAUUUAUCAAUUAUUUUCAAAUAUUCAAUAAAUUAAACCACACAAAAUUAAAAAAUAUAUGACGCGACCCUACAGCGACAACAAAUUGAUUUCUCCACUGCAGAGAGGUUGAUCACCAGAAGCAGGGUCAAUAAUGGCCAGCCUCUAAUGAGCAAAGAAACAAUCUCCAGGCUGGCAUAGGCCACUCCAAUUCAGGUCAACGGGGAUUCAAUCUAUCAAAUCCAUUCAUGCAGAUUGAUUACCUGAUUGGUAUUGAAAAGGAAACAAAACCCCCCCAAUUUUUUGAAAUUUAGAGUAGGAUGGAUCGCUUACCUUUAGCAAAGCGGAGGAACGUUGGUGGUGCGGAGGGACUGGUGGUCCAGCGCAAUUCGCUAGAUUUGAGAGCGAGAAAAGGCUCUCCACUGCAUUUUCCAUGCAUUCAAUCAUCAAAUUGUAGUUCGUUUCAAUUGAUUUCUGCUGAAAUUUAAAAAAUUAAUAAACAUUUCUAAAAAUAAAAGUAAACUUCAAGCUACAGACAGUUUGACUUGAAUGGCUUCAGCUGGAGCUAAGUAGGCUUACAGUGGGUGAAUCAAAGGGAUAAAGACACUGCAAUUUUCAGCUUCAUACCAAAGGAUAGACAAAGCACGACAGCAUGUUGCUAACUAAUUGUUCAAUCGAACUGAAAGGAAAAGUUGCAGGACAAAUAGCUCACUAAAGAAUCCCAUGUUGAGGACCUUUCCAGGCACGCUUUAUUCAACAGAGCUUUCAGGUUUUCAGUUUUCAGCUUAUCUUGAAAUUCAAUGCGUCGGGAAUCAGGGAUUUGCUGAGGCAGGUAAGAGUAACACAAGCAUCCAGUCAAUUCGAUUUGCUGAGGCAGUUGCAGUUGCAGGUAUGAGUAAAGUCAUGACAAAUUGUGAAUGGAGGAGAAAUACUAUUACCAUAAUCAACCAUAAUAUGUAAGUAGCCGAAUGUUUAGCCUGUGCUUGGUAGUCAUCGAAGCUAUUAUCUGGAAUGAUGGAGCAGGAGUCGAGGAGCUGUAACUCGUUAUUCAUAAAGAUUCUGAAGUCGUCAUUCAUGCUGUUAUUCUGCUUCGCAUGGCUGGACAGACCAGUAUGAUCAGUUAUGAAAUGCUUUAUCCAAAAUAAGAAAGGAAGCGGCGAUGAAGCCAUAGAGCCUGUUUACAGUGAAUACCACAGAAAUUAAAACUCGGGGGGUUCUCAGAUGAUUAGUGAAAUAUACAAAAACACCCCACGUACCUCUCUUCCUAUGUAGUGCUUUAUCAACAUUUCAUCCCAAUCAAGCUCUUCCUGACAUGACCACAUUUGACACAAGUAUCAACUGUAAACGUUCAUGUAACGAAGAUAGUACAAUAUAAAAAGUGCUUGCCCAUAGGAACUCAUGGUCAUAAUUACUGAAAAGAGAUUAAAGAAGAUUUGUACCUUCCACAGCCGAUAUAUCUCAACACUGUAACCAGAAGCUGAAAUCUCUUGUUUAUAGCAUUCGUCCUCUAAAUCUUACGCAUCAGCCGCUGCAAAAUGAUAGAAACAUUGAUUGUGAGGGGAAUUAAAGUCCAGCACAUCGACAACUUUGUCUCUCAGUAUCACAACAAAAGGAAAGCAAGGUCUCACACUGCGAUAAUGGGAGCAACUAUGAUCAGCAACAUGCAAGGAGGCCCAGGUUCGGGAUCUUUCUAAUUCAUGUAGCAACUGCAAGCACAAAUUUAUGGUGCAUAUAACUCAUCAUAAACACGGACGAGAGAGAAAAAUGGAUAUGUAUGGUACAAAUACGAAUCUCGGAAUAUGAAACUGCAUAAAAUCAACAAUUACUCUCAAACUAUCAGUCACAUUUGUUGAGAAUGAAGGCUAAAAAUAAUUCUCUGCUUAUCCUUUUCAAAUGUAUAGGAGUGCAAUUUGGCUCAGAAUUGUUUACAUCACAUAUAAAUAUGAAAUUCCUAGAAGGAAACCUGAAUUAUUCCCCGGAUAAGAAAAAUCGAGAUUAGAUCUAACCUGUUCUCUUGUCAUGUAGGAAACCAACCAGCAACGGUGGUUCCAUGCACGGUAAUUCAUUUUUGACCUCUGUAAAGAAAGAUUUUGAAUUACACAAAAGUGAACAAUGACAAGGAAAAUUCUCACAUAAGAAAAUUGUGGAACAUAUGAAAUGCCCAUACAGAAUAACAGUUGCUAUUGAAACCAUGGACACUGAUCCACAUCACGUUUGGAAAAGAGAGAGUGAAUUACAACUAUUAUCUGUACUAGUUUGAUACAGAUAUUUAGCAGCUCAGUAGGAAACCUUAUUUUGCAGACAAGAUGACUGCCAGAUGCACACAAUUAUAAAAGUGCACAAUGUGUUGGGGUGACGGAAGUCAUUUCUCAAGUCUUUUAUGCGGUGUGUGUGAGUUAUGUUGUUUUUCCCUACGAAAGCAAUAAUGAGACUGAACAAAAACAACAUAUAAGAUAAUUGAAUUAAAGUUUAAAUAAACCUUUGUAAAUUAAAAGCAUGCAGUUCCUGAACUGAAUUUAAACCUCAGCUAUUUUCUCCACCAGCUCAGAGUCUUUGGUCACAAUCUCCGACAGAGUUGAACACUUUCCAGCAAUCGACUUGAUGACCCACUGCCUGCAAUGAUCGAUAUGUUCUUAAAAUUCAAUUAUUAAAGUCAUUACAUGGGAAAACUAUAAUGAGGGACUCGAUUAAACCCUACCCGGCUGAGUACUUAUAAAUAAGAAAGUAUAGAAAUCAUGCCAGUUGUUAAGCAUAUAACGGAAAACUUCUGCUAAAAAUGCUACCUAUGGCUCCAAGCAUACUCAAACUUAGGUGAAUAUGAAAGAACAAGUGCUGACAAGAGAAGUUCAUCCAAAAAUGCUGAGUGCUUAUGCUUCUGCGACACAACAAGCUUCCUGCAUCACAUAUACUAGACCAAGUAGGUGUCAUGACAUAAAUUGAAAAGCAGACAAGAUCAAGAAGAUCCAAAAUUAUUGAUAUAUAAUUAUAGUAAAUAAUUGCACAUCAAAAACUCUAGAGGAAGAUAGAUGAAUCUCCAUGUCAGGAAACCAAAGAACAUGACGCUACAAAGGACCGUUGCUUCACAUGCAUAUCUGCUACUAUUUUAAAACAAUUAUGUUAGAACAAGUGUAAGAGAGAGGAAAAAGCACUACUGAACCGAAAAUGAAAAGGGGGAAAACCUGGAAUGCCAUGCAGUGCCGAAAUCACUACUUAGCAACAAAAGCGCCCUGCUAUGCUUCAUGACGUCACUUUCAAAACUAUUAUCCAAAGAUAAUGACACAUACAAAGACUUCUCAUCCCCAGAUACAUCUGAUCUGCUGUUAAGUGCCUUCUAUUGUCUACUUGCUGCCAUAAACGCAUGCUUAGAAGCUUCAUAUAACGGGAAAAAAAAUUGCGUUGAAAUCCCCAACUUAUGAUCCCCAUUCCAAAAAACUGAGUUGCCAUUAGCUGAGCGCAUCACAGUACUGCCAUCAGAUGAGGGUGAGAAAUGGACUGCCUCUUUAUUCAGCUUGGAAAAUUGGGACGGGUGAAGAAAUACCACUUCAUCUCUGGGUUCAAUCAAGAGGAAAGAACAAUAUAUAAGACGAUGGCAUUACUACAUAUUCCAAAAACGUAACUGAGAACCCUUCCAAAAUUAAAAAAGAGAACACCUCUACACAAAAUCAUAAUGCACCCACACACACACACACACACACACACACACAAUUCAAAAACUUUCAGCAUAAGAAUAAGGCAUACUUGGACCGAAAUCGAAAUUCCAGAUUCGGUAACAGUAAUGAACUAACACUGAAUCAACAUUUUGAAUUUGAACUAACACUGAAUGGACAUUUUCCAAAAAAUAUGAAAUCCCAAGUAAAAUCAAGCUGUUACUUUUACAUAUGCAUGGAUCAACUCAUUUGGGAUCAAAUAUCUGUACUUUUCGACACGGAAAUUACACUUUGUGUACACCAACCAAGCACGAAUAAAACCUAUAUAUACAAAACUCUAUGGGGCAUUUCAUCGAACACAAAGUCUGCAUCUUUACUGAAAACAGAGAAGCUAAACCUGAAAUCACUGAUUAUCUACUAACAUACUACUAACAUACAAGUCAGAAGAUCGACCGUGUCUGCUUCGGAACGACGCAGCUCCUCUCCUUCCAUAUUUUCUGUUUGUUUCCCGAGAAAAUCCAAGGGAAAGGAAAACCCGAGGGAAAAUGACAGCUUUAUACUAUGUUGGAACAAAAUGGUAAAUUAAUUAAAAAAAGAAGUACGUGGAAGUUUUUUAUUAGUUGUUGAAAUAAGUUGCAUGAUGCUGGCCGUAGAUGAUCCAGUUUCGGGCCAAUGUCACACUGACACGUAUACACCAUUCUUCGACUUUUAUUUUCUUGUAUAAAAUUUUGGAGCUGCUAUGGCUAUUCAGAAGAGAAUGCUUUGAAUAAUGAUAUAUUCUUCUCAAUAAGAGGAACUUAUAGGUGUACAACCCUAACAUAAAAGGAAAAAAAACUAAUAACAAGUGAUUACAUGGGAUUACAUAUCAAUUAGGGAUCCUACCUAAAAUACAAAAGUCAACACUCCCCCUCAAGUUGGUGCAUAUAUGUCGCUCAUGCCCAACUUGUGUAAGAAACUUGAAAACUUGUGACUCGAAACAGCUUUUGUGAGGAUAUCUGCCAACUGAUCUUCAGUUCUUAUCGCCGGUACUUCAAUUAUUUUCCCUUCCAAUUUUUCUUUGAUGAAGAAUCGAUCAACUUCAACAUGCUUUGUUCUAACAUGUUGUACUGGAUUAUCUGCAAUGUCACGAGCAGCUUUAUUAUCACAAAAUAAUUUCAUGGGCUGAUCAUGUUGUAUACCCAAAUCACUUAACAGAAGCUUAAGCCACAAAAUUUCACAAAUCCCCAAAGCCAUACCUCUGUAUUCUGCUUCUGCACUGGAACGGGCAACCACAUUCUAUUUCUUACUUCUCCAUGUAACCAAGUUACCCCCAACAAACGUAAAGUAACCUGAUGUUGAGCGUCUAUCAUCAAUAGAACCUGCCAGUCUGCAUCAGUAUAACCUUCAACACUAAAGUGAUUAUUCCUCUUAAACAAAAUUCCUUUGCCCGGACUUCCCUUCAAAUAUCGCAAUAUUCUCAUCACGGCAUUUAUAUGUUGUUCUCCAGGAUCAUGCAUGUAUUGACUCACUACACUCAAGGCAUAAGCAAGGUCCGGUCUUGUGUGUGCCAAAUACAUCAACCGGCCUACUAACCUUUGGUAUCUUCCUUUGUCAACUGGUACUUGAUUAGGAUCAACACUAAGCUUUAAUCCUUCUUCUAAUGGUGUAGCUAAUGGCUGACAAGCUGACAUGCCAGUUUCGUGCAACAAAUCAAUAAUAUACUUCCUUUGAGACAAGAAAAUUCCAGAACUGCUUCUCGACACCUCAAUCCCUAAAAAAUAUUUUAGGGAUCCAAGGUCCUUCAUUUCAAAUUCUGCAGACAGGUAUCUUUGCAAGGCCGCACGUUCUUCAGGAUCAUUACCUGUUACCACCAUAUCGUCUACAUACACAAUAAGUGCAGUAAGCUUCCCAUUCUGUCUUUUCAGGAACAAAGUAUGAUCAGAGUUACUUUGUCUGUAACCAAAUGCUCUCAUAGAUUUUGUGAAUCUUCCGAACCAUGCUCGAGGGGACUGCUUCAAGCCAUACAAGGAUUUCUUCAACCUGCACACUUUUCUUUUGUAUUUAUCUGGAGCAUUACAUCCCGGUGGAAGAUCCAUAUAAAUCUCUUCUGUCAAGUCUCCAUGCAAGAAGGCGUUCUUCACAUCGAACUGUUGUAAGGGCCAAUUAAGAUUUGCAGCCAAGGACAACAAAACACGAACUAUGUUGAUCUUGGCUACAGGUGCAAAUGUAUAUGUGUAGUAGAUUCCAUAUUUUUGAGUGUAUCAUUUGCUACCAGUCUUGCCUUGAAACGAUCCACCGUCCCAUCUGCUUUGUAUUUCACAGUAUAGACCCAUUUGCAUCCCACAGGUUUCUUGCCAGCUGGCAAAUCUGUGAUCUCCCAGGUAGCAUUCUUCUUCAAAGACUUCAACUCUUCAUUCAUUGCUACUUGCCAACGUGGAUCAGUUAAAGCCUCCUGCACACUGUUAGGAAUAGAUACAGUAGAUAAUUGAUGUACAAACGACUUAUUUGAUUCUGACAGGUGACUGGUAGACACAUAAUUACUUAACGGGUAUAACACAUUAGACUCAAGGUUGGGCUUACUCACCGGAUACCUAGUUUUGCAUUUAGGGUCGGCUUCAUAAGUAAGUUUAGGAAUACCUCGGUUGACGCGAUCAGGGAGAUGAUGUGGUGGUGGUGCAUCCGGGAUCGAAGACGAUUGAUUAUGGUUAUUGGGACUCAAGAUCGACUGUGAGGUAGCUGGCGACACAGGGCUGUCUGGUGAUGAGGAAACUGGCAGUGAGCUAUCAGGCAGUGAGUUAUCUGGCGAUGUCGACUCGUCCCUUUCAAGGUUUUCAACAUUGUUUCCAUGUGAAUGAUCACCACUUGUCUCCAAGACAUUACCACUUAAUUCCAAUUCAUUCACAUCAUUAUUUUCGUGUGAGUGAUCACCACUUAUUUCCAAGACAUCACCAUUUAAUUCCAAAUCAUUCACUCUAUCUAUAUCUGGAAUAGUAUAAUCAAGAGUUUGAACUUCUUUCUGAUUCUCCCCCUGAAGUGAAGACUCGGGAUUGGCAAAGUACAUAUCAUUAUCAUGAAACGCAACAUCCAUAGUGACAAACAACUUAUUCGUCGGUGGGUGAUAACAACGGUAUCCUUUCUGCCUUGAUGCAUACCCCACAAACACACAUCGUAAGGCUCGAGGUUCAAGCUUACAUCGAUGUUGUUUAUGAAGAUGAACGAAGGCCAAACAACCAAACACAUGAGGUGGAAAAUUAGGGACUGCAUGAGCAUCAACAUGUGAAGAAAUUGCCUGAAAAGGUGUAUGAAAAUCAACCGAUCGGGAUGGAACACGAUUAAUGAGAUACGCAGCUGAGGUGAGAGCUUCUCCCCAAUAGCAUAACGGGAGACGAGCCUCGAGUAAAAAAGCACGAACAACCUCCAGAAGCUGACGGUUCUUUCAUUCGGCAACCCCAUUUUGUUGUGGAGUAUAUGGACAUGUAGUUUGAUGAACAAUCCCAUGAUGAUCAAGAAAGGCACGAAGUUCAGAGUUAACAUAUUCGCCACCAUUAUCACUCCUGAGAACCUGUAUUUGUGACUUAUAUUGUACUUGUACCAUUUUGUAAAACUGUUGAAACAAAGAAGUAACUUCACCUUUGGAUUUCAUCAAACAAACCCAAGUCAUACGUGUGCAGUCAUCAAUAAAAAUAACAAACCAAUGAGCACCACCAAAUGUAGCAGUUUUAGAUGGACCCCAAACAUCAGAAUGAAUUAUCAUAAAUGGAACAUAACUUUUAUUCAAACUGGAUGGAAACGAGGCACGAUGACUUUUAGCUAGUUCACAAACACCACAUUUAAAGCUAGAAACAUCAUGCUUAACAAAUAGGCUAGGAAACAACCUCCGUAGAUAACCGAAAGAAGCAUGUCCAAGUCGACGAUGCCACAACCAAACCUCCGAAGCUUUAUUCCGAUCCCCUGAAUUUCCGUCCACUGCAAGAGCUUGAGUCAACAUUCGAGAACUGUUUGAUGUCAGCUCCAAGUAGUAGAGCUUCCCUUUCCUAAUACCAUAACCAAUCGUCUUGCGAGUCCGAAUGUCCUUAAAAACACAAAAAGAAGGCCAAAAAAUCAAAAGACAAUGCAGGACGACAGUUAUUUGAGCAACAGAUAAUAAAUUAUAGUCAAGAGAAGGCACAACAAGUACGGUAUCAAGACUAAGGGUAUCUGAAAGGGAGACGGUUCCUUCCCCGAUAACAGGGGCAUGAUUACCAUUGGCGACACUGACGACAGUUUUGGUGGAUGGUUUUAGGCUACAUGUCUAAAAUCACAAGUCAUAUGUUCAGUAGCACCGGAAUCAAUUAUCCAUGUAUUAUUCGUAACAGAUGCAGAAACCUUUAAAGUUUUACCAUCGUUGUUUGUAUGUUCAGAAGCUACCUUAGCUUUGGCAAUCAAUGCACACGACUCAUUACAGGGGGGAUGACGAGUCCAAUGUGUCAUUGCUCUACGUGAGUUGAGUGCAACGUCUGAGGUGAUUGAUAGGGCCAAGAUUCCAAACCAACUAGGUCAACAAUGUGAGAUCCCUGGAACAAAAACAAACAGUAACACAAAAAAGGACAACCUUUUUUCCUUUUUCUUUUUUUUUUUUUUUUUUUUUUUUUUUUUUCUUUUUUUUCCUUUUUUUUUUCUUUUUUUUUUUUUUUUUCUUUUUUUCCUUUUUUUUUGAAUUCCUUCAGAACACGCAAAGCAAAAUAAAUGCACGUGGGGAGUUCCUUCAAAACACACAAAUCAAAAAAUAAAUGCAGGGAUCAUAUCAAAUCAGUUUAGCAGAACACAGGUUGGGCUGCAGAUGGUAUGAUGAGUCAAAUGCGUAGACGCCAGGAAGAGACAGAUCGGUUUCUGGUGCAGAAGAAAUCGUGGUUGUCAACCGGGAUUUGCAACGACAAGGUUUCUAGAUUAGGAUCUCGGUUUGUGGGAGUGCGAUGCAGCAACAGAUGGUAGUGGGUGACUGCAGGGAUCGGCUCAGUGAACUCGGAUCAGCAACGACGGCGUCGCUCGCUGGUGUGACAGUGCACUGCACAACUGGUUGCGCAACUAGUGAACUCGGAUCAGCAACGACGGCGUCGCUCGCUGGUGUGACAGUGCGCUGCACAACAAGCUGUGCAACUGGUGGUUCUUAUUUCUGCGCACAACGAGACUUUUUUCUUUUUUUCUAACCUAGGCUCUGGUGCCAAGAAGAGAAUGCUUUGAAUAAUGAUAUAUUCUUCUCAAUAAGAGGAACUUAUAGGUGUACAACCCUAACAUAAAAGGAAAGAAAACUAAUUACAAGUGAUUACAUGGGAUUACAUAUCAAUUAGGAUCCUACCUAAAAUACAAAAGUCAACAUAUUCUCUCUCUACAUCUCUCUCUCUCUCUCUCUCUCUCUCUCUCUCUCUCUCUCUCUCUCUCUCUAGGGUUCCGUGAUCUGUAUAUGCGUCUCGAUGGCUAUGGAAAUUGUGGUGGAUGCGGCGUCGUUUGACGCCGAGCUGUUGCAGCUCAAUGAUUUGUCUCCUUUGGCCCUCAAAUCGAAUCCGAGCUACGUCGAGUCGCUGUUCGAGCAGUGGCUUUCGCUUCCCGAUACUAAUCGCCUGGUACUUGAAAACCCAAUUUUUUUGUCUUCAAAAUUUGAAAUUUUUGGUGUUUUCGCAUUGUUUUGGUUGUGCAUCUUGUUGGGUUUCGAAGGAUUUAUGGGUGCAGUUUUUGGUUUUUGAAUUUUGGUGAGCUUGGUUUUUUGCUGUUGAAUUAAAAAUUUCUGUGUUUUUUCAUGUGUGUAUGUUUUGAGAUACACAUAAUUUGCAUGGAUUUGUAUAUGUGUUUGUUCUAGCCUGUGAAACCAGCAUGAGAGCUAAGAAAUAAUGAUGCUGAGUUGAUUUUAGUAUAUAUUGAUUUUCGUGCCCAUGGUAUUGAAUUUGUUCGGAAACGAUGACUUUGCGAUUAAUGAAGCAUUAAAGGGCACAUUUCAGUAUGGAAAAAGGGAUGAAAAUUGUAAAUUGUUAGCAAUGUUCGAAAUUACCUAAUGCCUUAAAGUAGUUACAAAUUUGUAAUUAGUUGUUGGAAAUGCUAAAGUUUAUAUUUUUUUUAAUUAGGAUACUGGAUACCUAUGAUUUACAUACUACAUAAUCUUUCAUCUUUUCUGAUGCAUGACAGUUUUUUCAUUUUCCCGACUCUAUGGUUGCAGGUGACACAAACUGCUAACUGAAGCAAAGGCAGGUAGGCCUCUGAAUGUUCAGGGAAAUUCUUCUAGUCCACAUGCCACUGCAGGCAGUACUUUGCCUUCUAUGUUUCCAACCAAAGUGGGACAAAGGGAAGGCCCCACAGUCCCGGAAAGAGACUCCACCUCUUCCAUCCUCUCGGGUGCGUUCAUCAGCCAGAUCUGAUGACAGGGCAGCUUUCAAGGAUGAUGCAUUGAAUGAGUUACGAGCAAAACGUUUGAAGCUGCAUGACCCUGAGGCUCACCGCAAGUUGAGAUAUGCUUCUCGUAGUGAAGAUGAUGGAUCAUCAGGGGAUGAUGCAAUGAUUGACAGUGAUGAUGAAAGGUCACAGGGACUAACUUUUGAUGUUAUAAAGGAGAUUACCAUUCGAAGGUCGAAACUUGCAAGUGGUUUAUGGAGCCCUUCUUGGAAGAGUUAAUUGUGGUUUGCGUUGUAAGGGUUGGAAUUGGGAGGUCAAAGUCUGGGACUAUCAAUGGUGGGAGCAGUACGGGCAGGCAUAGCAGCAACUGCAGCAGCUUUGGAAGCUGCGGCUGGUGUAGGGAAGUUGAUUGAUACGAGUGCCCCUGUUGAUUUUGGAAGAGAGUCAAAUCUAAAGCAUAAUUUUGAGCUGCCAAUAUCAUUGGCUGCUCUUCAGAAGUUUGGAAAGCCACAGGGUUCUUGGCAAGAAAGCAGCGAAUAGAAGCAAUAGUUGAGUGCCAAGUCCCAGAGAAUAAUGGGAGGAGGCAUGCGCUGAUGCUUACAGUUGGCGACUACAUGAGAAGAAGAGGGAUUCUCUGAACAUAUUAAAAACCACCACAGAAACAAGAAAGUUCAAAAAGAGAGAACAUAUUAAAAACAGAUCAAGGCAUGCAAAAAAAUACAGACUCUAUCUGCAAACUAGCUGAUUAAGCCAGAAAGUUUCCUAGCUUACAACUAUGUUUGGUUGACACAGUUUUGUUGGUAUGAACUCCAAUGGGAAUCCAUGCCAGCACAACCAUCUUAAUUUUUUGGAAAGACAUUGGUAUCACCCAGUGAGUCGUACGUAGUUUAGUUGGAGCAAUCUCAGUCUCUUCAUAUUUUUAAACGCCUUGGUACUGAAACUAGUGUUUUCAAGACUCGGCAAAUUCAAAGCCAGACCUUCAAUUUUUUCAGUUCCCUGCUAUCCGAAAAAAACAGACUCCAAAUAAGAGAAGGCUUUGCAUGAAAAAAAGUUAGAUUACUAACUUACAUAUGCUUACACGUUUAACAUAAAGUUGAUUGGGAAAGUACUUACAAAUUUGUCUAUCAAUACAUCAUUUACAUCUUCAGGACGCCACAAUCUACUCCGUUCUCUAGGGAAAUCGGGAUUUUCUGCAUGCACGAUAUCUCUGCCCAUAUACCGAAGCAAAUCAUGCAUCAUAAUCUUGUUUUCUCUAUUAAUAGUUACAAGGCACCGGUCAAGGAGGACCUUGAUUCCUGUUGUUGCAUAAAAGCCACAACCAUCCAAGAUUUGUAUGACAUCGUUCUUGUCCAUUCCGAUAAAAAAACAAGCUAUAUCGAGGAAUAUUCGCCUCUUGUAAUUAUCAUUUAGCUCGUUGUAGCUUAUUUUCAGUUGUGCCUGAAUUUCUCCACGAGGAAUUAUUUUCAAUUCAUCCAAUAUACUUCUCCAUUCAUCUACGCUUCGUUUGAAAAGAGUAGAUCCUAAAACUUCAAGAGCCAGCGACAAUCCUCCACAGUAAUUAACAACUUCUCUUUCGAGUGCAAGAUAUUGACUAGGACAACUACUACUUCUGAAAGCAUGCCAACUUAGGAGCUCAAGAGCUUCUUCUCGGUCCAUUACUUUCGCCCGAUAUAUCUUUUGAAUUGCAAAUUCUUUUAGCACACUUUCAUUUUUAGUUGUGAUGAUGAUUCUGCUCCCCGGGCCAAAAAGUGGCAAUUUCCAACUAAUUCACGUAAUUGCUUCACAUCGUCUACAUCAUCAACUAUGACAAGUACCUUUAAGCGUCGAAAUCUUUCCCUUACCAAGGCGGUCCCUGCAGCAACACUGCUUACCUUUGUCUUGGUUUGCAAGAUAUCAAAAAGAAGUUGUUUUUGCAAUUUUUCUAGCUUCUUUUCCCUCACUUUUUCAAGGAAACUUUUACCUUCAAAUCUUUCAUAAAAUUCGUUAUAAAUGGCUUUAGCAAUCGUUGUUUUACCUAUUCCACCCAUGCCCGAAAUUCCAAUCACACGAACAUCAUCUGAAUCUCCGAUGCCUAAAUAAUUACUAAUAUCUAGCACUCGAGUAUCUAUUCCGACUUGAUAGGGCGCUACGUCGAAGUAUUUGUUGUUCAACUUAGUAGUGACGUCAUUGGUAAUCAUCCUGAUAAACUUUGCUUCAUGCCUGGCAUUAGUCAAGUUGAGAAGCAAAACGAAGAUUGUUAUACAACGAAAUUGAACUAAUUAAUACACAAAAUUAUUUAUCAUGACUAGAGAUUUUAAUUAAGACAAUUUUUUUGAGGUGGUGUGUUUAAACUUAGCAAACAUCAAUUAAAAUUAAAAUAAGAAACACAAACAAAAAACCCAGCAUCCCUUCCGUCCGCAGCCAGUCGCCGGCAGCUUCCCAACUGUGAUUAGUGUAGCCUUAACAGUUUAAGCUUUAUUGUAUGAUUUUAUUACAGAGGUCUAAGAAAUCGCAUGAUUCCAAAUUAAUAAGCAAAGGUACAUUAAAGCCUUAAUUCAUAAGAAAAUAAAUUAGUAAGUACCCGUCGAAAGUGUUUCUGAGAUCCCAGCCAGGCAAAUUCGAAGCUUCAGUAAGAGCAGCUCUCCACCUCUCUACCUUUUUUCAUCUGUAUGUUUCAGAAACGAUUGUGCAAAACUACUAGUCUGUUUCCUGACAUGCGAAGGAUCAACGUCAUAGAAUAUCGGCAAAACUAAUUGCCCUAGCAUUCUUCUACACUCCAUGAUCUUUACCAGCUCCUCGAGACACCAGCUGGAGUCCGAGUACCGUCUUGAGAAGACGAUGAUAGAGAUCCUAGAACCCUGGAUUGCCUGCACAAGUUCGGUAGUUAUAUCUUCUCCUCUUCUUAGUUCGUCGUCAAUAAAGGCGUUGAUUCCGGCCUUUGUCAAUGCUUCGUGGAGGUGGCCCGUGAAGUUUUUACGUGUGUCUUCACCUCUGAAGCUUAUGAACACUUCGUAGAGCGAACCUUUUGAGAAGGAGGACAAGGACGGGGAGGCGGAGGAGGACGAUGAGGAUGAGAUUGAGGGUGAGGAGGUGGAGGAGGACGAUAAGGAUGAGGGCGAGGACGAGGUUUUAUCGGGGACGGAGAUAUUCAUUUGGCGAAAGACGAGGCCGAGGGAGCAGAGGAGGAAGAUGAGGACAUCAAAAACAAGACCGGAAUUGCGAUGUGCAUAGUGGUAGGACAGUAACACCAGCACCAUAAUUAACAGCUUCCCUAAGCUCAACCAGUUAUCCAUUGCCUUCAAUUUCUUUAGGCAAAUUGAAGGUUUUUUGGCGAUAUUGAUUUUCAUUUUUUCUACCGGAACUACUUUCUUCUUCUUAUAAUUAAUCAACCCGCCUAGGCGGCGCAGUUGACUGUAGACUUGAGUAUUGGUAAAUUGACUUAUGGUCCUACACCCUAAAUUCUACGAGGUGCUCUUUUUCUUCCACUAUAAAGCCAAAUUAGACACGGUAAAUUGACUUGUGGUCCUACACCCUAAAUUCCAGGAGGCACCCUUUUUUUCCACCUUAUCGCCAAAUUCUACGCAGUGUUUUCUGGUUCACACAAUGAUGAGAUACUUUUCAGUUUAUAGGAACACAGUCCAGUACACUGUACACCACUUAUAAAACAACUUCAAGAGGGCUAGUUUGAAAAUAUCCUACCGCGAAAUUUGAUUUGGUUUGGACCAAAUUUUGAUUUAGAUGAAAACUAGUAACAGUGCCUGCGCGUUGCUGCGGAUGUUUAAAAUGUUUUGAUAAUAUAUAAAUAUAGAAAACAUAAUUUAUUAAAGCUAGAUUUCUAUACCUAAGAUAAAGGUUGACAGUUUUCAUAAUUAUCAAAAGUUGGCAGUGUCCAAUUGCUCACUGUUCAAAAGAUAGAGAUGCUAUAAAAGCUUAUUUCAUCUACAUAAGUUCAUAGUAUCAUGUACUCAAAAUAAUCAUAGUAUCAAAAGAUUGGCAGUUUUCAACUGCUCAUCGUUCAAAUACGAAAAUAUACAUAUGUCCAUAUCAAAAGGUUGGCUCCGCACAUCUGCUGUGUUUAUGAUUUUUCCUGUUCAAUCUCUGGUCUUGCUUGUUUGGGAAUGGCCACCCUUUUUCUUGGCCACCAUGCUGUUGAAUUGGUGCCUAUUCUUUUUUGCUUUGCCCAUUAUUUUUCUCUUGAUAUAUAUUACGAAUUGGAAUCAGUAAGAAUUCCAUAUAAAAAACUAAAUUUGUCAAUCUAUUUAACUUAGUGCGAACUUCGUCAAACAACCAAGUAUAAUCCAGCAAGGUUAUUUUCUCUUUUUUUUUUUUUGAUCAAAAUGAAUUCUACUGUUCCCAUCUAUUUGCACAUCCCUUUAAAUUAUCGAAAACACAAAAGAAAUAUAUCUUGAUCCAUACCAAUUAAUGAUUUCCCAUUUACUCAAGUCAAACGUCAAAGCCAAUGAAUUGAUGAAGGAGCUAAAAAAGAGGGACAAAAAAAAAUCUCUAUUAUUCAAUUAUAUGGAGAUUUACCUGAUUGUACAAAAGGUUUGAAAAUUACCGUAAAAUUUGAAAAGAGAGAUGAGAUGGAGUGGAAAUCACAUACCAGCAUCAGGCUUAAAUUUGUAGUGCUCAUCUGAGAGAGCAGUGAUAGUGUUGAUGAGAGUGUAGGGAGAGAAACAAAAUGCAAAUCGUACGAGUUUGAGAGAAACUGCUUGAGGGACACUGCAGAUUGAUCGUUGAGAUUUGAGAAACCGAGGAAGCUGCAAUUUGAGACGAACUACUUUGCAUCAAACGUGGGGGAGUUUCUCUCCUCCACGUUUGAAUAGAAGAGGUAGUUUCAGAGUUGUCUGCAAUUAGUCCUAUCAGGAGCUUCUGCACUGGUUGAUGUCUCGGUCUUUUCCUUAGUCGCAUGUGCAUUGUAGACUUGGGUAGAUGAAAAGUAGAAAGGAAAUAAAAAUAUAAAGUCAAAGUUACCACUUAACUAUCUAUGUUGAUUCAUGUCCCACGCAUAAUAAGAAUAGUGAAUCAUUUUUCAUCUCGUGCACUGGUUUGUCAUUGUCAUUCGAAUUCACAAAUCCAUUUACUCCGAAUUUCUUAGUUAUCACCAGGGAAAGAAUGUAAUAAGCAAAAAUCUAUUUCUAGGUUGUCCCACUAAACUACCUGUUAAACCAUGGUAAAUCAAAACGGGAAAAAAAUUAUAAUACCUUUGUCAAACCUCUUGGGAUUCAAGUCCACCGACUCCACCCCAAUACUCAGUGGCGCCCCAGAAAUCUUGCACGUUCAGUAGCCAAGAUCAUGCAUGUAUCAGUAUGAAUAUGGAAGAGAAAAUAAAUGCAAUUUAUUAGAAUAAAGAAUAUGGGAUCAACAAAGUUUGUCCAAACUUACAGUGAGGCUAAUAAACAACAACUAAAGAUAAUUUUUCGUUUUGCUACAUGAGAGGGGCAUCCAAAAAUCCAAACCUGUCGAUACGGCACAACUGAGGAUGCAAACUUUAUCCAACUAAGCAAGGGGCUUGAUCUUGGAAAGACGGCCAGAAUGAACAACAAUGUAUUCACUUUAGUAAAAGUGCCAAGACAGUGAUUGGUGAACGUUAUUUCCCAGCUGGGUUAGUUUGGCUAUUCCUUUCUAUUGAAAAGGAGUCAGUUGUGCAUGAGUCACCACAUUUUGCUUCAUGGCGAAAAAUUUGAGGGAUCAAUAGUGUAUGGCCCUGAAUCCCAAAAGGAAAAAAUAACUCAACUAAGUAUAUAUAAUAUUAAACAUAUAAAGGGUAAGAUCAACCACAUCCCAUAGGAGAACAAUUAAACGCCACUCUCUCAGUUUCGAGUACAACUGCACUUUGUGAUUAAAAUUCACACAUGUUUCACAUAUGCUAAGAAGUAAUGUUCCUGUAGGUUUUUCAUCAUGAACGACAUUUGCAAUCUACUUUUCGAUUUCAAACCUUAAUUAUUCAUUGCCCAUUAAGAAAUGACUAUAUUGCCCGGAAACUCUACUCAUAGUUUAUAAAUCUGCAAUUUUCAAAGCUUAACCUUAAACAUUUAUCAUGCUGAAAAAAAUACUUAAGCAUCUUAAUUGGAUUCCCUACAAUUUGGUGGAGGUUGAAUGGAUUUUUCCUCCCAUUAUACCCCCGGAAAAUAUAAAUAAUCAUUGGAGACCGAGCAACACACACUCAUAAAUAAAAGAUUAGGAACCUUUGGUUCAGGAUAAACAUAAUGCAUACAGAAGAAUAAAAUUGCCAGAAAACAGAUCGAUGCACAGAGAGAUAGAGGCAUAAAGAGAGAACUUACAUCAGCUGUGCUCUCAAAUACAUAUGGUAAUCUGCAUACGAAGAAACAUAAUACUGAAACAGUUAUAAAUCAUCCUAUUCAAACAAAUCAAACGAAAUGCAUAAAGAUUACCUUAGUUUUUGAUUCUAUGAUUUUGUAUUUGACUCCACCUCCACGUUGUUCUUUGGUUGUCUCUUUUACUGAAUUAAGUAAUCGACUGAAUUACUUAAUUCAACUGAAUUUAAUCAGAGAGAUGAAAGCUUCUGUAUAAAAAAAUAUUUUAUGCUCUACACGCGUAGCAAAUCAUCAGUAACCUCCAAGAACCUAAUUGUACGAUAAACACUCUAGCAUUAACUACCCAAGAAUUAUAAUCAUGCUUAUUGCCAAAAAUGAUAAACAUGUUUACCUUGACUUCAUUUUUAAUGGCAUAUGUAAUAUACUUUCCAUCUGCAUUAAAAUAACCUUCUUCCCUCUGCUCGUUAAUCAAGUUGAAAGGUUCUGUUUGAAUCCCAUCCACAACAAAGUCCUUGUAAUCCUGCCAAAAGAUACCACCAAUCACUGGCUAUCGCUUCCGUUGAUCCAAUUAGCAGAAGUAUCCAACAAUUUCCUCGACUGAAAAAAAUCUUGCCAAUUUAGAAAAGAACUAUUCCAAAUUACGGAUGUACUCGAUUAAUUUAACCAAGAAUAUGCACGGCACCACCACUAUUAAGAAACAUCAUCAUACAAAGACAAAAGUUUUUACCAUCAGUUUUUAAAUUGCAACCAAAACAUGCAUAGAAAGAAUAAAAAUGACAACAAAGAUGGCAAAACAAUUAACCACACAUGUUGUUUAUCCAAAAAUGCUGAGAGCUUAUGCUUCUGUGACACAACAAGCUUCCUGCGUCACAUACACUAGAUCAAGUAGGCGUCAUGACAUAAAUUGAAAAGCAGACAAGAUCAAGAAGAUCCAAAAUUAUUGACAUAUAAUUAUAGUAAAUAAUUGCACAUGAAAAACUCUAGAGGAAGAUAGAUGAAUCUCCAUAUCAAGAAACCAAAGAACAUGACACUACUAAGGACUGUUGCUUCACAUGCAUAUCUGCUACUAUUUUAAACAAUUAUGUUAUAACAAGUAUAACUCCGCCGUGUAAGUUUAUCUUACAUUGCCGGUCCCAAGCCCGGAUAAAGGAGGAGGGGGAGGGCGUCAGGUAGUCGACAGCCGGCACUCCAUGAUUACGUCGAAUCCUUAUGAAAAUGAAUCCAGAACGAAAUCGCGCUAAAGCUAGGGCGUCACCCGUAAGUGGCACGCUGUGUGGCCCGAGCACAGUGAUAAGUGAGCAAGGGUCACUGUAUCUCCAUCGGCACCCGGAUGCAGUGUUAAAUGAGCAAGGGGGCUAUAGAAACUUCUUUUCGAACGACUCCACUCAAAGUUGUUUGGGAGCAUAUGCUCCUAUCAACUUUACACGGGAGACACAAAAGAAGUACUUUGAUCCUAUUAGACGGGGAAGGGUGAAGAAGCUAGGACAGAAGGGUAGAGUUCAAGAGAGCAAAAUGCGUUUAGGAACGUGGAAUAUAGGAACCUUGACGGGAAAAUCUAUGGAAGUAGUAGAAGUUAUGGUGAGGAGAAGGAUAAAUAUUAUGUGCCUACAAGAAACUAAGUGGGUUGGUCGUAAGGCAAAGGAUCUAGAAAACUCAGGGUUUAAACUAUGGUAUUCGGGCACAAAUAGAACGAGAAACGGUGUUGGCAUCAUCGUGGACAAGACCUUGACACAAGAUGUUGUAGAUGUCAAGAGGGUAGGAGAUAGAAUCAUGGCAAUCAAGAUUGUAAAUAGGACAAGAACUUAUCAAUGUGAUUAGUGCGUACGCACCUCAAGUAGGGUUGGAUACGAGUUCGAAGGAGAAAUUUUGGGAAGACCUUGGAGACUUGGUGCAAGGAAUUGCUCAGACGGAGAAGUUAUUUAUAGGAGGAGAUUUAAAUGGACACGUGGGCAGGGAGACAGGCAACUAUGGAGGUUUUCAUGGUGGCCAUGGUUUUGGGGAGAGAAACGAGGAUGGGGAAGCUAUCUUGGAUUUUGCAAUGGCAUAUGAUCUCUUCUUAGCCAACACCUUCUUUAAGAAGAGAGAAGAACAUGUGAUCACCUACAAGAGUGGGUCGUCAAAAACACAAAUAGAUUUUCUUCUAAUGAGGAAAGGGGAUCGUAUAACUUGUAAGGAUUGCAAAGUUAUACCAGGAGAGAGCGUGGCUAAUCAACAUCGCUUGUUGGUGAUGGAUGUACAUAUCAAAAGAGUGAGAAAAAAGAACAAGACUUGGAAGUGCCCAAGGACUAGAUGGUGGAAUCUAAAAGAAGAAAAACAAGCCAUUUUCAAAGAGAAAGUAAUCACCCAGUAUGUGUGGGAUAGAGAGGGGGAAGCUAACCAAAUGUGGGAUUCCAUGGCUAGUUGUAUCCGAAAAGUAGCAAAAGAGGUAUUAGGAGAGUCCAAGGGUUUUGCCCCACACCAAAAGGAAUCUUGGUGGUAGAAUGAGGAGGUACAAACAAAGGUGAAGGCUAAGAAGGAAUGUUGUAAAGCCUUCUACAAGGAUAGGACCGAUGAAAAUGGUGAAAGGUAUAGAAAAGCGAAGCAUGAGGCGAAGAAAGCUGUGAGAGAAGCUAAGUUAGUGGCUUAUGACGAUAUGUAUAAGCGACUAGAUACCAAAGAAGGAGAGUUGGAUAUCUAUAAACUAGCUAGAGUAAGGGAAAAGAAGACAAGGGACCUAAACCAAGUGAGGUGCAUCAAGGAUGAGGAUGGAAAUGUUCUUGCUACAGAGAACGCGGUUAAAGACAGAUGGAAAGGUUAUUUUCAUAAUCUUUUCAAUGAAGGACAUGAAAGGAGUGCUUCUUUAGGGGAGUUGAGUAACUCAGAAGAGUGUAGAAACUACUCUUUUUAUCGUAGAAUCCGGAAGGAAGAAGUGGUUGUUGCUUUGAAGAAGAUGAAGCAUAGAAAAGCAGUAGGCCCAGACGAUAUACCAAUCGAAGUGUGGAAAGUUUUGGGAGAGACAGGUAUAACAUGGCUCACUGACCUUUUCAAUAGGAUUUUGAAAACGAAGAAGAUGCCAAAUGAGUGGCGAACGAGCACUUUGGUGCCUAUCUACAAGAAUAAGGGUGAUGUACAAAAUUGCAUGAACUAUAGGGGUAUUAAGCUAAUGAGUCAUACAAUGAAGCUCUGGGAGAGAGUCAUUGAGCAUAGAUUGAGGCAAGAGACACGGGUUUCGGACAACCAAUUCGGGUUCAUGCCAGGGCGCUCAACCAUGGAGGCAAUCUAUCUCUUACGAAGAUUGAUGGAAAGAUAUAGAGAUGGGAAAAAUGAUUUACACAUGGUCUUUAUAGAUUUGGAAAAUGCGUAUGAUAGGGUCCCAAGAGACAUUCUUUGGAGGAUUUUAGAGAAGAAAGGAGUACGAGUAGCAUAUAUCCAAGCUAUACAGGAUAUGUAUGAAGGAGCAAAAACUGCCGUAAGAACUCAUGAAGGACAAACCGAAAGCUUUCCCAUAACUGUAGGAUUACAUCAAGGCUCAUCAUUAAGUCCUUACCUUUUUGCGUUGGUAAUGGAUGAGUUAACAGGACAUAUUCAAGAUGAUAUUCCUUGGUGUAUGCUUUUCGCAGACGAUAUAGUGUUGAUAGAUGAAACUCAGGAAGGGGUAAAUGCAAAGCUUAACCUUUGGAGAGAAGUGUUGGAAUCUAAAGGUCUUCGCCUAAACCGAUCAAAGACAAAAUAUAUGGAGUGCAAGUUCAGUGCAAAUGGAGGCCAAAACGAGUUAGGGGUGAGGAUCGGAGAUCAAGAAAUACCAAAGAGCGACCGUUUUUGUUACCUAGGAUCUAUCUUGCAAAAGAACGGAGAAUUAGACGGAGAUCUCAACCAUAGAAUACAAGCUGGAUGGAUGAAGUGGAAGAGUGCAUCCGGCGUGUUGUGUGACCGCCGUAUGCCACUGAAGCUCAAGGGAAAAUUUUAUAGGACGGCAAUAAGGCCGGCGAUGCUGUAUGGCACAGAAUGUUGGGCGGUGAAGCAUCAACACGUACACAAAAUGGGUGUAGCGGAGAUGAGGAUGCUUCAUUGGAUGUGUGGGCACACAAGAAAGGAUAAGAUUAGGAAUGAGAAUAUCCGGGGUAAAGUAGGAGUAGCCGAAAUUGAAGGAAAGAUGAGAGAAAAUCGGUUACGGUGGUUUGGACAUGUGCAAAGAAGGCCUACUGACGCUCCAAUUAGAAGAUGCGACUAUGGGACAGAGGUUCAGGGCCGAAGGGGUAGAGGAAGACCUAGGAAAACUUUGGAAGACCCUAAGAAAAGACUUAGAGUACUUGGAUCUAAUGGAGGACAUGACACAGGACAUAACACAAUGGCGUUCUAAGAUUCAUAUAGCCGAUCCCACUCAGUGACUUGGAUUUUCCAAGUCUCCAACCGAGAAGUUUUCCUCACUCGGGAAAUUAAGGGAACACUACCUCAACCUACAUGCUCCAUUCACAAAGCUUCAACAUACAAGCUUCAACAAAAGAAAAUUCAAAGAACUUAGCGAAGAAGGCUUUGGUGUAUUUAACACAAUACGUUGAAAUGAAGGAAAACUUAUUUAUUGAUAUCCCCGAUAAGUUACAAAUAUGUACAUAUACUUGAGUCAAAAUAAACAAACAAGAGGGAGCCUUCACAAAGGUUGCUUAGGAGAAGUCUCAGCAGUCGGCAGAGCCCCAGAAAAAGAAGGCACCGGAGGUGGAUCAUUCGGAGCCUCAGUACUGGACAGAACCCUAGAAGGAUGAGGCAUCAGAGGUUGAUCAUUUGGAGUUUUAUUACGCGGUACAGCCCCAGAAGACGAAGGCAAUAAAUGCCUUUGGAACAAACCCACAAAUCUCUGAUGAUCAAGUAAAACCUGACCAUCAGAUUCCUUCAUUUGGUCAAGCUUCCUCUUCAUGUUUGUAGCAUAGUCAUGUGCGAGCCGGUGCAACUGUUUAUUCUCAUGCUUGAGCCCUCUAAUCUCCUGUUUGAGACUCAUCACUUCAGCCGCCAAUGAUUCAACCUGGCGGGUUCAAGCAAAUAGGCGUUGGGCCAUAUUAGAUACAGAACCUGCACACUGAACACUGAGAGCCAGAGAAUCCUUAACAGCCAACUCAUCAGACCGUUUGGAAAGUAGUCUGUUAUCUUUGGGAGUGAGAAGGUUCCUGGCCACUACCGCAGCGGACAUAUCAUUCUUCAUCACGGAAUCCCUAACGGUAAGAGGACCAGUAGGGGAGACGAAGGAUGGGCGCCAUAUAUUGUCUGGUGAAGGCGGGGCUGCCUCUUAAAAAAGGUUCAAGUCAAAACGACGGUCGGAGGGGCCAGACAUUUUCAAAGGUGUUGAAGAGAGAAGAGUUCGGACAAAUCAAGAUCUUAGAAGUGCAAGAAUGGAGCUUCUACUGGUGGAUAUUCAAGUGUGCUUUGGAACUUAAUGUCAGCCCCUAUAAAAAUUUGCACUCGACGAAGCUUCAGAAAUCGAAGAGGCGCCUGCUCAGAAAUCGAAGAGGUGUUUGCUUUCUCAAAAGCUGGGCUGCUCAGAGACCACGAGGGUCGAUCUCAGAAAUCGAAGAGGCGUUUGCUUUCUCAAAAGCUGGGCUGCUCAAAGACCACGAAGACCGAUCUCAGAAAUCGAAGAGGCUUGCUUUCUCAAAAGUUGGGCUGCUCAGAGACCACGAGGGUCGAUCUCAGAAAUCGAAGAGGCACCUACUUUUCCAGCCUUGUCAGCACCUGUCACACGCACACUCAGCUUUGCGGAAAUUAUGGGCAUUCUGUCGAAGAUUUCUGGCGAAGUAGAAAGCACAUGAAUCGUACUGUUCAAUCACCCACUUCUCACACGCAACAGUAGCUCAUGGGUACCACAGAUAACUUUGCCAAAGUUCUCUGACAAAGUUGAGACACGUGAAGCUUGCAGCUCCCACUACAUCGCUCUGACCAAGAAGGGUAAAAGAAUAGCAAAGAAACAACACUAACAAAGUUUACACAUAAAUUUUGAAGGUCUAGCUACCAUAUUAUUACCCACAAGGGUAAAGGAACAGUACCACUGCUGGAUAAUUGGAAAGUCCCGAUGUGUCAACCUCUGUGCUUCGUGGCAAGGUAGACUAGCAAACUUGCCCAACCUUUACUCACAUUCGAGAAAACACUCCCAACAAGAUUGCUUGCUCCAAAAUCGAAGAGGCACCGCCCUCCGAAUCUCAAGAGCCAGACUCCCAACAUGAUUACUUUCUCAAAAAUCGAAGAAAGGGUAAAGGAACAGUACCACUGCUGGAUAAUUGGAAAGUCCUUGUGUGUCAACCUCUGUGCUUCGUGGCAAGGUAGACUAGCAAACAUGCCCAACCUUUACUCACAUUCGAGAAAAUACUCCCAACAAGAUUGCUUGCUCCAAAAUCGAAGAGGCACCGCCCUCCGAAUCUUGAGAGCUAGACUCCCAACAUGAUUACUUUCUCAAAAAUCGAAGAGAGGGUAAAGGAACAGUACCACUGCUGGAUAAUUGGAAAGUCCCUGUGUGUCAACCUCUGUGCUUCGUGGCAAGGUAGACUAGCAAACAUGCCCAACCUUUACUCACAUUCGAGAAAACACUCCCAACAAGAUUGCUUGCUCCAAAAUCGAAGAGGCACCGCCCUCCGAAUCUCGAGAGCCAAACUCCCAACAUGAUUACUUUCUCAAAAAUCGAAGAGACACCGCUUUUCGAAUCCCGAGAGCCAGACCCCCAGCAGGAUUGCUUUCUCAAAAAUCGAAGAGGCAUCGUUCUCCGAAUCUCGAGAGCCAGAUCCCCGACAGGAUUGCUUGUUCGAAAACCGAAGAGGCACCACUUUCCCAACUUCAAGAGCUGGAUCUCCUUGGAUAAAGCUUGUCUGUAAUCUUCACAUGCAACAUCAGCUUUCCAGAUACCACAGACCACUUUUUCAAAACGCUCUGACAUAGUUAAAACAUGUGAAGCUUGCAGCUCCCACUACCGUGCUAUGACCAAGCAGGGUAAAGGAAUAGCAUUAUUACUUGAUGUUAAGGAGACUCCUAUAUAUGUCGACCUUCAUCCCCAACGGACAGGCAGACCUGCAAAAAUGCUCAACCCUCCCUCUUAUCUGAGAGGGCACUCCCAACGAAGCCUUUCGAAAUAUUCAGCUUUCUUUCCCCCCCCCCGAUAAUACCUCUGUAAACAAGCUAUACUAGAGCAAGAAUAUCUCAUAUCAUCAGGGUUAAAAGCAAGAGUAUCCCAUAUCAUGCUUUUUCCCUGUCUUUUCCUUUGGCCUUGUUCUUACCUGCAAGACAAGGAGAAAGAGAGCAAUCAGUCAGCACUUGGAAUCAAGCUUCCAGCCAGGAACUGACUGCCUGGAACCCCUUACCUGAUUACUUACCUGGCAUUGCUUUCGAGUUCUCAUCUUCAACAUCUUAUGCUUCCAGGGAAGAUACCGCAUCUGCCUGAGGAACAGAUAGGGCAAGUGAGAAGGAUACAAGGAAGCAUGUGGAGACAAGCGUAACAGCACACGUGCCGAUACAUCCACUACUCUGUCGAAAGCAAAAGUAUCCCAUAUCAGCAGGGUCGAACGUACUCUAGAUUUGAUGGACUUGUUUUGACCCUCAAAUUCUUCAGUCGACCUUAUACUCUGGAGGAAACUAGAAAACCCUCCAGCCCAGUUCAAGAAUAAGCCUGUGGAAAGUUACUUCUUCAAAAGCAAAAGUAUCCCAUAUCAUCUCUUCUCAUUUUUCUUCUCUUUAUCCUUCAUACUGCCUGCAAGAUAGGGAGAAUGUGAACAAUCAGCAGGAGCUUUGAUUGCUUACCUUGUCUGUCACUUUCAGCAGAUCCCCUAGCUCGGCGACUUGGGGGACUCUUACUACAUGGUUUGUAUCGCGCUUGACCAAGCCUGAAACUACAAGUAAGCUUCAAGUGAAAUUGAUACAUUACCUUGUGCAUCUCCACCAGUUACAGAUAUCACCCCUGGAUGGAGGAAGAGUACUUCCAGAGAAGAUGCCACAUCUACCUAUGAGACAGAUAAGGCAAGUCAAGACGAUACCACACUCCGGUACUUAGAAGUUUCGUGGUUACGAGAUAAUUCUCCCACAAUAUUUCCUAAUGUCAUUUGUACUAAAUCAUUCACUUGUACUCACUAAAGGAGAGCUUGAACCUAUGUACUUGUGUAAACCCUUCACAAUUAAUGAGAACUCCUCUAUUCCGUGGACGUAGCCAAUCUGGGUGAACCACGUACAUCUUGUGUUUGCUUUCCUAUCUCUAUCCAUUUAUAUACUUAUCCACACUAAUGACCGGAGCAAUCUAGCGAAGAUCACAAAAAGUGACCGUUUUCGCUACCUAGGAUCUAUCUUGCAAGAGAACGGAGAAUUAUAUGGAGAUCUCAACCAUAGAAUACAAGUUGGAUGGAUGAAGUGUAAGAGUGCAUCCGGCGUGUUGUGUGACCGUCGUAGGCCACUGAAGCUUAAGGGAAAAUUUUAUAGGACGGAAAUAAGGUCAGCGAUGUUGUAUGGCACAGAAUGUUGGGCGGUGAAGCAUCAACAUGUACACAAAAUAGGUGUAGCGGAGAUGAGGAUGCUUCGUGAGAUGUAUGGGCACACGAGAAAGGAUAAGAUUGGGAAUGAUGAUAUCCGAGGUAAAGUAGGAGUAGCCAAAAUUGAAGGAAAUAUGAGAGAAAAUCGGUUCCGGUGGUUUGGACAUGUGCAAAGAAGGCCUACUGACGCUCCGGUUCGAAAAUGUGACUACGGGACAGAGGUUCAGGGCCGAAGGGGUAAAGGAAGACCUAGGAAAACUUUGGAAGAGACCCUAAGAAAAUACUUGAGUACUUGGAUCUAACGGAGGACAUGACACAAAACCGAGCGCAAUAGCGUUCUAGGAUUCAUAUAGCCGACCCCACUUAGUGGGAAAAGGCUUUGUUGUUGUUGUUGUUGUUGAUGUUAUAACAAGUAUAAGAGAGAGGAAAAAUCACUACUGAACCGAAAAUGAAAAAGGGGGAAAACCUGGAAUGCCAUGCAGUGCCGAAAUCACUACUUAGCAACAAAAGUGCCCUGCUAUGCUUCAUGACGUCACUUUCAAAACUAUUAUCCAAAGAUAAUGACACAUACAAAGACUUCUCAUCCCCAGAUACAUCUGAUUUGCUGUUAAGUGCCUUAUAUUGUCUACUUCCUGCCAUAAACGCAUGCUUAGCAGCCUCAUAUAACGGAAAAAGAACUUGUGUUGAAAUCCCCAACUUAUGAUCCCUAUUCCAAAAAACUGAGUUGCCAUCAACUGAGCGCAGCACAGUACUGUCAUCAGAUGAGGGUGAGGAAUGGCCUGCCUCUUUAUUCAGCUUGGAAAACUGGGACGGGUGAAGAAAUCCCACUUCAUCUCUGGGUUCAAUCAAGAGGAAAGAACAAUGUUUAAGACAAUGACAUUACUACAUAUUCCAAAAACACAACUGAGAAUCCUUCCAAAAUUAAAAAAAAAAAGAACACCUCUAAACAAAAUCAUAACGCACCCACAAUUACACACACACACAAUUCAAAAACUUUCAGCAUAAGAAUAAGGCAUACUUGGACCGUUAUCGAAAUCCCAGACUCAGUAACAGUAAUGAACUUACACUGAAUCAACAUUUUGAAUUUGAACUAACACUGAAUGGACAUUUUCCAAAAAAUAUGAAAUCCAAGUAAAAUCAAGCUGUUACUUUUACAUAUGCAUGGAUCAACUCAUGCGGGAUCAAAUAUCUGUACUUUUCGACACGGAAAUUACACUUUGUGAAGGUACACCAACCAAGCACGAAUAAAACCUAUAUAUACAAAACUCUAUGGGGCAUUUCAUCGAACACAAAGUCUGCGUCUUUACUGAAAACAGAGAAGUUAAACCUGCAAUCACUCAUUAUCUACUAACAUACAAGUACGAAUUACUUACAUUUGGGGAUCGGAUUCCAAGAUACAUUCGAAUUGAUUCAGAAGAUCGACCGUGUCUGCUUCGGAACAACGCAGCUCCUCUCCUUCCAUAUUUUCUGUUUGUUUCCCAAGAAAAUCCAAGGGAAAAGAAAUCUGAGGAAAAAUGACAGCUUUAUACGAUGUUGGAACAAAAUGGUAAAUUAAUUAAAAAAAAUAACUACGUGGAAGUUUUUUAUUCGUUGUUGCAAUAAGUUGCAGGAAAAAGUAAUGAUGCUGGCCGCAGAUGAACCAGUUUCGGGCCAAUGUCACACUAACACGUAUACACCUUCCUUCGACUUUUCUUUUCUUGUAUAAAAUUUUGGAGCUGCUAUGGCUAUUCUCUCUCUCUCUCUCUCUCUCUCUCUCUCUCUCUCUCUGAGUAGGCCUAGCAAACGGGUCGUGUCUGUCGUGUUCGUGUUGUUUUUGUGUAACACCUAUUAUCUUAACGGAUCGUAUCGUGUCACACCUGUUAUCUUAACAGGUCGGGUCACUUUACCCAACGGGUAAAAUGACCCAACCAGUUAUGACCUGUUAAGAAAAAUAUAUUUUUUUCUUAAAUUUGCACAUACCACACAUUGUCACUUAAAUAUUACUUCAAAACAUUAAAACACAUUUAUCGUUUUAGUACUACAUCUACACUUGAAAAUAAGAUCAUAAUAAAAAAAAGGGUAAAUUACAUAGUAGCCCCUCAGGUUUGAGGUCUAUUGCAAUCUUAUACAACAUCUUUAAAACAUUUCACUUUCAUACCUCAAGUACUAUUUUAUUUCAAUUUUAUACAACCGUUAGAUUUUCCAUCCAUUGAUCUGUUAAAUGCUGACGUGCCUGCCACAUAUAUGACACGUGGCUGCCAAAUGUCUGCCACGUGGCAAAUAAAAAUAAUUUUUUAAUUUAAAAAAAAAAACAUAUCUGCCACUUUUUUUUUCUCUUUUUCUUCUUCUUCUCUUUCUCUUUCUUCUUCUUCUGGGUUGGGACCCCUUUUUUUUUUUUUUUCCUUCUUCUUCUUCUUCCUCCUCAUCCUCUUUCUUCUUCUGUUCUUCUUCUUCCUCCUUCUUCUUAUGGGUUCCGUCCCUUUUUUUUUUUUUCCUCUUUCUUCUUCUUCUUCUCUUUCUCUUUCUUUUUCUUCUGGGUUCGGACCCUUUUUUUUUUCUUUUUUUUUUCUUCUUCUUCUUCUUCUCCCUCCUCCUCCUCUUUCUUCUUCCCUUCUUCUUCUUCCUUCUUCUUCUUCUGGGUUCGGUCCCUUUCUUUUUUUUUUUUUUUUUCUUUUCUUCUUCUUCUUCUUCUUCCUCAUCCUCCUCCUCUUUCUUCUUCUCUUCUUCUUUUUCCUCCUUCUUUUUCUGGGUUCGGUCCCCUUUUUUUUUUUCUUCUUCUUCUUCUUCUUCUUCCUCCUCCUCCUCCUCCUCUUUCUUCUUCUUCCUUCUUCUUCUGGGUUCGGACCCCUUUCUUUUUUUUUCUUUUUUUUUCUUCUUCUUCUUUCUCCUCCCUCCUCUUUCUUCUUCUCUUCUUCUUCUUCCUCCUUCUUCUGGGUUCGGUCCCUUUCUUUUUCUUCUUCUUCUUCUUCCUCAUCCUCCUCCUCUUUCUUCUUCUCUUCUUCUUCUUCCUCCUUUUUCUGGGUUCGGUCCCUUUUUUUUUUUCUUCUUCUUCUUCCUCCUCCUCCUCCUCCUCUUUCUUCUUCUUCCUCCUUCUUCUGGGUUCGGACCCUUUUUUUUUUUUUUUUUUCUUCUUCUUCUUCCUCCUCCUCCUCCUCUUUCUUCUUCUUCCUCCUUCUUCUAGGUUCUGUCUUUUUUUUUUCUUCUUCUUCUUCCAAUUUCAGGUUUUUAAAAAAUAAAAAAAAAUUAUUUUAUUUGCCACGUGGCAGACAUUUGGCAGCCACGUGUCAUAUAUGUGGCAGCCACGUCAGCAUUACAGAUCCAUGGAUGGAAAAUCUAACGGUUGUAUGAAAUUGAAAUAAAAUAGUACUUGAGGUAUGAAAGUGAAAUGUUUUAAAGAUGUUGUAUAAGAUUGCAAUAGACCUCAAACCUGAGGGGCUACUAUGUAAUUUACCCUAAAAAAAACAAUCAAACACUACUAGUCUAUUACAAAAUAUUAAAUGUGCAAGGAUAUGCAAAAUGAAAGAGUUUUUGUUUUCAAGGUUGUGAAGCAUUUCAUUAAGUAUAACAUAAGAUUUUGUGGUAUCCACCAGUGAAAAUAUUUUAAAUUGAAUAUCGAGUUCAUUCAUUGUAUUCAUAUAGGGUCAAUGAGUGUAGCUGUAAAAAAAUCAUCAAAAUCGGAGUUAAAUUAACCGUUAAAUCAUGAUUUUGCGUUGACAAUCGUCGAAAAGUUUUGUCCUGUUACUUGAUCAUUGAAUGUUUGCUUUUUGCAAUUUUUGGCGUGUGCGAUCUCGAAGCAUAUACAAACAAGUUUGACGGUUGGAUCGUUGAAAUUAGUUUCAUAGAAUGCGUAUCUCAUCAAAACGAUAGAUUCACGAACACAUAGAGUUUUAUUUAUCCUUUCAUUAAGUAUAACAUAAGAUUUUGUGAUAUCCACUUGUGUAAAUAUUUUAAAUUGAAGAUCAAAUUCAUUCAUUGCAUUCAUAUAGGGUCAAGGAGUGUAGCUGUAAAAAAAUCAUCAAAAUCAGAGUUAGAUUAACCGUUAAAUCAUGAUUUUGCGUUGACAAUCGUCGAAAAGUUUUGUCCUGUUACUUGAUCUUUGAAUGUUUGCUUUUUGCAAUUUUUGGCGUAUGCGAUCUCGAAGCAUAUACAAACAAGUUUGACGGUUGGAUCAUUGAAAUUAGUUUCAUAGGAUGCGUAUCUCAUCAAAACGAUGGAUUCACUAAUACUUAAGAGUUUAUUUAUACUUUCAUUAAGCAUAACAUAAGUUUUUGUGGUAUCCACUUGUAUAAAUAUUUUAAAUUGAAGAUUGAAUUCACUCAUUGUAUUCAUAUAGGGUCAAUGAGUGUAACUGUAAAAAAUCAUCAAAAUCGGAGUUAAAAUAACCGUUAAUAGUAAUUUUUCGUUUAUAAUCGUCGAAAAGUUUUGUCUCGUUACUUGAUCUCUGAAUGUUUGUUUUUUGCGAUUUUUGGCGUAUGCGAUCUAGCAUAUACAAACAAUUUUGACAGUUGGAUCGUUGAAAUUAGUUUCGUAGGAUGCGUAUCCCAUCAAAAUGAUAUAUUCACUAACAUUUAAAAGUUUAUUUAUACUUUCAUUAAGCAUAACAUAAGUUUUUGUGGUAUCCACUUGUGUAAAUAUUUUAAAUUGAAAAUCAAAUUCAAUCAUUGUAUUCAUAUAGGGUCAAGGAGUGUAGCUGUAAAAAAUCAUCAAAAUCGGAGUUAAAAUAACCGUUAAAUCGUGAUUUUUUCGUUUAUAACCGUCGAAAAGUUUUGUCCCGUUACUUGAUCUCUGAAUGUUUGUUUUUUACGAUUUUUGGCGUAUGCGAUCUCGAAGCAUGUACAAACAAGUUUGACGGUUUGAUCAUUGAAAUUAGUUUUGUAGAAUAUGUAUCUCAUCAAAACAAUAUAUUCAAUAACACUUGAGAGUUUAUUUAUCCUUUUAUUAAGUAUAACAUAAGAUUUUGUGGUAUCUACUUGUAUAAAUAUUUUAAAUUGAAGAUCGAAUUCCUUCAUUGUAUUCAUAUAGGGACAAGGAGUGUAGCUAUAAAAAAUCAUCAAAAUCGGAGUUAAAAUAACCGUUAGAUUGUGAAUUUUUGUUUAUAACCGUCGAAAAGUUUUGUCCCGUUACUUGAUCUCUGAAUGUUUGUUUUUUGUGAUUUUUGGCGUAUACGAUCUCGAAGCAUAUACAAACAAUUUUGACGGUUGCAUCGUUGAAAUUAGUUUUGUAGGAUGCGUAUCCCAUCAAAAUGAUAGAUUCACUAGCACUUAGAGUUUAUUUAUAUUUUCAUUAAGCAUAACAUAAGUUUUUGUGGUAUCCACUAGUGUAAAUAUUUUAAAUUGAAGAUCAAAUUCAAUCAUUGUAUUAAUAUAGGGUCAAUGAGUGUAGCUGUAAAAAAUCAUCAAAAUCGGAGUUAAAAUAACCGUUAAAUCGUGAUUUUUUGUUUAUAACCUUCGAAAAGUUUUGUCCCGCUUCUUGAUUUCUAAAUGUUUGUUUUUUACGAUUUUUGGCGUAUGCGAUCUCUGAAUUAUAAUUAUUAUAGUUUUUAGAGGUAUAAAAUUGUUGAAUUAAUAUAUAUAAUUAUUAUAGUAUUUUUUAGGGUUAUAAAAUUAAUAUUUUGCUUAUCGUGUUAACCACGUGUAUACCCGAACCAACCCGUUAUCUUAACAGGUGCUUAUCGGGUUACCCGAUAACGACCCGAUUCGUUAUCGUGUCGACCCGAACACCUGUAAAUUUCGUGUCAUGUCGGACCUGGUUAUCGGGUCGUGUCAGGAAUUGCCAGGCCUUGGGGCGUGUCAGAAUCUGUCAACCAAACUGAUCCAAUCCACACGUAGAAUGAGAAACUAAUAUUUGGCAUAGGCUAAACCCUAUCUUCCAGAUGGCUGACUUUUCAAACAAAAUAAAAGCCACACGUCCACACUUGAAUCUGUCAACCAAUUUGAUCAAAUCCACACGUAGAAUGAGAGGCUGAUAUGUGGCAUAGGGUAAAGCCAAUCUUUCAGAUGGCUGACCUUUCAAACAAGAUCAAAGUCACACGUCCACAUGUCCACACUUGAAUCUGUUAACCAAACUGAUCCAAUUCACACGUAGAAUAAGAGAUUAAUAUGUGGCAUAGGCUAAAGCCUAUCUUCAAGAUGGCUGACUUUUCAAACAAAAUAAAAGCCACACUUCCACACUUGAAUCUGUCGACCAAACUGAUCAAAUCCACACGUAGAAUGAGAGGCUGAUAUGUGGCAUAGGCUAAAGCCUAUCUUCCAGAUGGCUGACUUUUCAAACAAGAUUAAAGUCAUACGUCCACACCUCCACACUUGAAUCUGUUAACCAAAUUGAUCAAAUCCACACAUAGAACGAGAGGCUAAUCUGUGGCAUAUGCUAAAUCCUAUCUUCCAGAUUGCUGACUUUUCAAACAAGAUCAAAGCCACAUGUCUACACUUGAAUCUGUCAACCAAACUGAUCCAAUCCACACGUAGAAUGAGAGGCUGAUCUGUGGCAUAGGCUAAAGCCUAUCUUCCAGAUGGCUGACUUUUCAAACAAGAUUAAAGUCAUACGUCCACACCUCCACACUUGAAUCUGUUAACCAAAUUGAUCAAAUCCACACAUAGAACGAGAGGCUAAUCUGUGGCAUAUGCUAAAUCCUAUCUUCCAGAUUGCUGACUUUUCAAACAAGAUCAAAGCCACAUGUCUACACUUGAAUCUGUCAACCAAACUGAUCCAAUCCACACGUAGAAUGAGAGACUUAUAUGUGGCAUAGACUAAACUCUAUCUUCCAGAUGACUGACUUUUCAAACAAAAUAAAAGUCAUAUAUCCACACUUGAAUCUGUCAACCAAAUUGAUCAAAUCCACACGUAGAAUGAGAGGCUGAUAUGUGGCAUAGGCUAAAGUCUAUCUUCCAGAUUGCUGACUUUUCAAACAAGAUAAAAGCCACACGUCCAUACGUCCACACUUGAAUCUGUCAACCAAACUGAUCCAAUCCACACGUAGAUUAAGAGACUAAUAUGUGGCAUAGGCUAAAGCCUAUCUUCCAUAUGGCUGACUUUUCAAACAAAAUAAAAGCCACACGUCCACACUUGAAUUUGUCGACCAAACUGAUCAAAUCCACACGUAGAAUGAGAGGCUGAUUCGUGGCAUAGGCUAAAGCCUAUCUUCUAGAUGACUGACUUUUCAAACAAGAUAAAAGCCACACGUCCACACUUGAAUCUGCCAACCAAACUGAUCCAAUCCACACGUCCACACGCCACAUGUCACAUCCCCGCCCCGGCUCGACUCCGCCGUAGCACGAUAUUGUCCGUUUUAGACCCCGACCACCCCCUCACGAUUUUGUUUAUGGGAACUUACGCGAGAACUUCCCAGUGGGUCACCCAUCUUGGGAUUGCUCUUGCACCAUUCUCGCUUAACUUCAGAGUUCCUACGGAACCCGAAACUAAUAAGCGAUUGGCUCUGAUACAAAAUUGUCAGAUCCGGCCCGAGCUCCACCACACCCCGAGCUCGACUCCAAUGUAGCACGAUAUUGUCUGCUUUGGGCCCCGACCACGCCCUCACAGUUUUGUUUCUGGGAACUCACGCGAGAACUUCCUAGUGAGUGACCCAUCAUAGGAUUGCUCUCGAGCCAUUCUCGCUUGACUUCGGAGUUCCUACGGAACCCGAAGCCAGUGAGCUCCCAAAAUGCCUCGUGCUAGGUAGAGAUGUGAAUAUACAUAUGAGGCUUACAUGAUCCACACCCCUGGACGAUGUGGGAUCUUACACCACGCAUCCCAAAUCAAUUUGAAUUGUACUGUUUGCUUGGAGAUAUAAUUAUGUCCUUUAUUUUAUCAAACCCAUACUUGCAUAAGGAGUCAAAAUCUCCUACUGAUGCAUUCCACGUGGCAAGAAUCAAAAGGCAUAUACCAUUUGUAUUCAUGUGAUAAUCAUCCCAUCCUACUACAUCAUCUGAUGUCGUGCCUUAAUGCACAUCCAUAUUCCAUCAUAUUUUGGGGCUAUAAUUAUUCGAGUAUAUAUAAUUAUUAUAAUUAUUAUAGUUAAUUUAAUAUAUAUAUAUAUAUAUAUUAUAGUUUUUAGGGUAUAAAAUUGUUAAAUUAAUAUAUAUUAUUUUUAUAUUAUUUUUUUUAGGAUUAUAAAAUUAUAAAAUUAAUAUUCUGUUUAUCGUGUUUCGUGUUACCCACGUAUAUACCGUAUAUACCUGAACCAACCCGUUAUCUUAACAUGUGCUUAUCGGGUUACCCGAUAACGAUCCGAUUUGUUAUCGUAUCGAUUCGAACAUGUGUUAAUUUCGUGUCGUGUCGUGUCUGGUUAUCUGUCGUGUCAGGAAUUGCAGGCCUACCUCUCUGAGCAUCAAUCGCCGAAGGAUUUUCUAUCAUUUUCCCUCACUUUCUCCCGUUUUCUCUCUCGCCAAACACUCCAAUUCCUUAAGGAUCUGAGGUUUCUUCCACUUCAAAUCUCACCUUUUUUUUCUUUCCAAUUGGGCAAAAAGGCAUUGAUUUGAAACGAAUAUUAUAAUAGAAAGGAAAGCGCUUUGGGGGGAUUAGAAUUUCUGAAUCUAGGGUUCCGUGAUCUGUAUAUGCUUCUUGAUGACUAUGGAAAUCGUGGUGGAUGCGGCGUCGUUUGACGCCGAGCUGUUGCAGCUCAAUGAGGUGUCCCCUUUGGCCCUCAAAUCGAAUCCGAGCUACGUCGAGUCGCUGUUCGAGCAGUGGCUUUCGCUUCCCAAUACUAAUCGCCUGGUACUUGAAAACCCAAAUUUUUUUGUCUUCAAAAUUUGAAAUUUUUGGUGUUUUCGCAUUGUUUUGGUUGUGCAUCUUGUUGGGUUUCGAAGGAUUUAUGGGUGCAGUUUUUGGUUUUUGAAUUUUGGUGAGCUUGGUUUUUUGCUGUUGAAUUAAAAAUUUCUGUGUUUUUUCAUGUGUGUAUGUUUUGAGAUACACAUAAUUUGCAUGGAUUUGUAUAUGUGUUUGUUCUAGCCUGUGAAACCAGCAUGAGAGCUAAGAAAUAAUGAUGCUGAGUUGAUUUUAGUAUAUAUUGAUUUUCGUGCCCAUGGUAUUGAAUUUGUUCGGAAACGAUGACUUUGCGAUUAAUGAAGCAUUAAAGGGCACAUUUCAGUAUGGAAAAAGGGAUGAAAAUUGUAAAUUGUUAGCAAUGUUCGAAAUUACCUAAUGCCUUAAAGUAGUUACAAAUUUGUAAUUAGUUGUUGGAAAUGCUAAAGUUUAUAUAUUUUUUUUAAUUAGGAUACUGGAUACCUAUGAUUUACAUACUACAUAAUCUUUCAUCUUUUCUGAUGCAUGACAGUUUUUUCAUUUUCCCGACUCUAUGGUUGCAGGUGACACAACUGCUAACUGAAGCAAAGGCAGGUAGGCCUCUGAAUGUUCAGGGAAAUUCUUCUAGUCCACAUGCCACUGCAGGCAGUACUUUGCCUUCUAUGUUUCCAACCAAAGUGGGACAAAGGGAAGGCCCCACAGUCCCGGAAAGAGACUCCACCUCUUCCAUCCUCUCGGGUGCGUUCAUCAGCCAGAUCUGAUGACAGGGCAGCUUUCAAGGAUGAUGCAUUGAAUGAGUUACGAGCAAAACGUUUGAAGCUGCAUGACCCUGAGGCUCACCGCAAGUUGAGAUAUGCUUCUCGUAGUGAAGAUGAUGGAUCAUCAGGGGAUGAUGCAAUGAUUGACAGUGAUGAUGAAAGGUCACAGGGACUAACUUUUGAUGUUAUAAAGGAGAUUACCAUUCGAAGGUCGAAACUUGCAAGUGGUUUAUGGAGCCCUUCUUGGAAGAGUUAAUUGUGGUUUGCGUUGUAAGGGUUGGAAUUGGGAGGUCAAAGUCUGGGACUAUCAAUGGUGGGAGCAGUACGGGCAGGCAUAGCAGCAACUGCAGCAGCUUUGGAAGCUGCGGCUGGUGUAGGGAAGUUGAUUGAUACGAGUGCCCCUGUUGAUUUUGGAAGAGAGUCAAAUCUAAAGCAUAAUUUUGAGCUGCCAAUAUCAUUGGCUGCUCUUCAGAAGUUUGGAAAGCCACAGGGUUCUUGGCAAGAAAGCAGCGAAUAGAAGCAAUAGUUGAGUGCCAAGUCCCAGAGAAUAAUGGGAGGAGGCAUGCGCUGAUGCUUACAGUUGGCGACUACAUGAGAAGAAGAGGGAUUCUCUGAACAUAUUAAAAACCACCACAGAAACAAGAAAGUUCAAAAAGAGAGAACAUAUUAAAAACAGAUCAAGGCAUGCAAAAAAAUACAGACUCUAUCUGCAAACUAGCUGAUUAAGCCAGAAAGUUUCCUAGCUUACAUAGUCGUCGUCGUCUUGGUCCUCCUCCUCAUCAUCACCCUCAUCAUCAUCAUCCGCAACUUCUUGGUCCUGAUCAUCGUCUUAUUCCUCAUCCUCCUCAUUAAAAUCCUUCUCAUCAUCCUCAUCGUGUUGUCAUCAUCCUCAUCAAAAUCAUCAUCUUCAUAAUCCUCAUCAAAAUCAUCACCUUUGGUAGAAAUUUCUUCUAAGGCCCGUUCGUAAGGGAUAUAAUGGUAAUCAAAUAAUGAACCUUUGAAAGUCAUAAGUUUGUCGCAUACUAAACGUACCCCUAUUUUCUUCACCGGACAAUGUGCAAUAACAUGGACCAAAUCGCUUUCUCCCAAAUUGAACUCAGUUUCCGACAACGAUAAAUUUGCCAGCCAAAUCAUCUCUUCAAUGAGAAAAAGAUCUCCUAGUUCGACACAAAAACUAGUACCCUCGUUGAUGUAAUCACGAGGAACAAAAGCCAGGCACACAGCCAACGCUUUUGCAUUACAUCCAAUUUCCUUGGGCACUUCAAAAGAGACUUGGGUACCCUCGUUGACAUGAUUGAACCAAGUGGGAAUUUGUCUUCCUACAAAACUCAUGGUUCCACCUCCUGUCCAUCCCUAUACCAUGUGGAACAACAUUUGUGUUAGUACUACAUACAUAACACACAUAUUUGCGAUGGGGGAGGAGAGAGGAGUGGUGUGGAAGAGAGAGAGUACCUGUAUCGUGCUAUCCUUAAGAAGGAAAUCCAUGACAUUGUUGUGUGUUAUCAUACAAAGAUGGAGUCCCGAGUUUAACGCGCUAUCCAAGCCUGGAAACUCAAUGAGUUUCGGGGAAAAGAGACUCACCAUUGUUGACAUGCCUGAAAAAUCUGGCAUUCUUUCUAAUGCAGAGCAGUCAUCCAUUUGCAGGAAACCCAAACUUUUUGGUAAAUCUGUAAUCUCGACAAGGUUUCUGCAACCAUUUAAGGAUAGUAUACGAAGCUUGGAGAGGCCACUGAGGCUUGGAAGGCUCCCAAAAUUAUUGUCAUCUAGACUUAACUCCACUAAACAAGGUAGACUACUCCCAAUAUCAUUAGGCACUUCCUCUAUAUUGCUGUCCUCCAAAAUUACACUUGUCAAAGAGCGUAAACCUAGUAAGGAAGGUAGCUGCAAAGAACACUUCAAUUUACUCAAAGAUAAGCGCUCGAGCUUCUCUAGUCGUACGAUGGAAGGUGGUAGUUUUUUUAUGGCCGUUCCAUCUGCAUAAAGAGUGACCAAUGAUGCCAUUUCUCCCAAGUGCUCAGCCAAACUUUGGAAUCUUGAACAACCAUCGAGAACAAGAGUUUUAACAGAUUUCAACUUGUAGAAACUCCUCGGAAGAGCCUUAAGCGUUUCACAGUCUUUCAAAUUCACCAACACAAGACUCUUAAGAUCUCCGAUGGACUUGUGAACUUUAGCCAACCUCUUACAGUCUUUGAGUAUCAAUUUCUCAAGAUUUGGGAAUUUUGAAAAGUCUGGCGAUUGUGUUAGAUCGUGGGAGUGGCUGAGAUUUAGAAUCUUCAACUUAUCAAGCAACUGUUAAGAAAAAUCAAAUUUAAAUAAAAAAUUUAAAUCCAAAAAGAAGAUACAAAGAGCAUAAAAAUAAUUCCUAAUUUGGUUCAGGUUACGCAUUGUACUUACCCCAGAAUACUCACAAAGAACUUGUCUGAGGUUGCUGUACUGCAUGUCGAUAACAACUAUGUUUGGUUGACACAGUUCUAUUGGUAUGAACUCCAAUGGGAAUCCAUGCCAGCACAGCCAUUUUAAUUUUUUGGAAAGACAUUGGUAUCCCCCAGAGAGCCGAACGUAGUUUAGUUGGAGCAAUCUCAGUCUCUUCAUAUUUCUAAACACCUCAGUACUGAAACUAGUCUCUUCAAGACUCGGCAAAUUCAAAGCUAGACCUUCAAUUUUUUCAGUUCCCUGCUAUCCGAAAAAACAGACUCCAAAUGAGAGAAGGCUUAUCAUGAAAAAAAGUUAGAUUACUAACUUACAUAUGCUUACACGUUUAACAUAAAGUUUGAUUGGGAAAGUACUUACAGAUUUGUCUAUCAAUACAUCAUUUACAUCUUCGGGAUGCCACAAUCUACUCCGUUCUCCAGGAAAAUCGGGAUUUUCUGCAUGCACGAUAUCUCUGCCCAUAUCUCGAAGCAAAUCAUGCAUCAUAAUCUUGUUUUCUCUAUUAAUAGUCACUAGGCACCGGUUAAGGAGGACCUCGAUUCCUGUUGUUGAAUAAAAGCCACAACCAUCCAAGAUUUGCACGACAUCGUUCUUGUCCAUUCCGAUAAAAAAACAAGCUAUAUCGAGGAAUAUCCGCCUCUUGUAAUUAUCAUUUAGCCCGUCGUAGCUUAUUUUCAGUUGUGCCUGAAUUUCUCCACGAGGAAUCAUUUUCAAUUCAUCCAAUAUACUUCUCCAUUCAUCUACGCUUCGUUUGAAAAGAGUAGAUCCUAAAACUUCAAGAGCCAGCGGCAAUCCUCCACAGUAAUUGACAACUUCUCUUUCAAGCGCAAGAUAUUGACUAGGACAACUACUACUUCUGAAAGCAUGCCAACUUAGGAGCUCAAGAGCUUCUUCUCGGUCCAUUACUUUCGCCCGAUAUAUCUUAUCAACUGCAAAUUCUUUUAGCACACGUUCGUUUCUAGUUGUGAUGAUGAUUCUGCUCCCCGGGCCAAAAAAGUGGCAAUUUCCAACUAAUUCGCGUAACUGCUUCACAUCGUCUACAUCAUCAACUAUGACAAGUACCUUUAAGCGUCGAAAUCUUUCCCUUACCAAGGCGGUCCCUGCAACAACACUGCUUACCUUUGUCUUGGUUUGCAAGAUAUCGAAAAGAAGUUGUUUUUGCAAUUUUUCUAGUUUCUUUUCCCUCACUUUUUCAAGGAAACUUUUACCUUCAAACCUUUCAUAAAAUAUGUUAUAAAUGGCUUGAGCAAUCGUUGUUUUACCUAUUCCACCCAUGCCUGAAAUUCCAAUCACACGAACAUCAUCUGAAUCUCCGAUGCCUAAAUAAUUACUGAUAUCUAGCACUCGAGUAUCUAUUCCGACUUGAUAGGGCGCUACGUCAAAGUAUUUGUUGUUCAACUUCGUAGUGACGUCAUUGGUAAUCAUCCUGAUAAACUUUGCUUCAUGCCUGGCAUUAGUCAAGUUGAGAAGCAAAACGAAGAUUGUUAUACAACGAAAUUGAACUAAUUAAUACACAAAAUUAUUUAUCAUGACUAGAGAUUUUAAUUAAGACAAUUUUUUGAGGUGGUGUGUUUAAACUUAGCAAACAUCAAUUAAGAUUAAAAUAUAAAUUUCAAUAAGAAACACAAACAAAAAAACCAGCAUCCCUUCCCUCUGCAGCUAGUCGCCGGCGUCUUCCCAGCUGUGAUUAGUGUAGCCUUAACAGUUUAAGCUUUAUUGUAUGAUUUUAUUACAGAGGUCUAAGAAAUCGCAUGAUUCCAAAUUAAUAAGCAAAGGUACGUUAAAGCCUUAAUUCAUAAGAAAAGAAAUUAGUAAGUACCCGUCCAAAGUGUUUCUGAGAUCCCAGCCAGACAAAUUCGAAGCUUCAGUAAGAGCAGCUCUCCACCUCUCUACCUUUUUUUCAUCUGUAUGUUUCAGAAACGAUUGUGCAAAUCUACCGGUCUGUUUCCUGACAUGCGAAGGAUCAACGUCAUAGAAUAUCGGCAAAACUAAUUGCCCUAGCGUUCUUCUACACUCCAUGACCUUAACCAGCUCCUCGAGACACCAGCUGGAGUCUGAGUACCGUCUUGAGAAGACGAUGAUAGAGAUCCUAGAACCCUGGAUUGCCUGCACAAGUUCGGUAGUUAUAUCUUCUCCUCUUCUUAGUUCGUCGUCAAUAAAGGCGUUGAUUCCGGCCUUUGUCAAUGCUUCGUGGAGGUGGCCCGUGAAGUUUUUACGUGUGUCUUCGCCUCUGAAGCUUAUGAACACUUCGUAGAGCAAGCCUUUUGAGAAGGAGGACAGGGACGGGGAGGCAGAGGUGGACGAUGAAGAUGAGAUUGAGGGUGAGGAGGUGGAGGAGGUGGAGGAGGACGAGGAGGACGAGGAGGAUGAGGAUGAGGGUGAGGAGGACGAUGAGGAUGAGGGUGAGGAGGAGGAGGAGGAGGAGGUUUUAUCGGGGACAGAGAUAUUCAUUUGGCGAAAGACGAAGCCGAGGGAGCAGAGGAGGAAGAUGAGGACAUCAAAGACAAGACCGGAAUUGCGAUGAGCAUAGUGGUAGGACAGUAACACCAGCACCAUAAUUAACAGCUUCCCUAAGCUCGACCAGUUAUCCAUUGCCUUCAAUUUCUUUAGGCAAAUUGAAGGUUGUUUGGCGAUAUUGAUUUUCUUUUUUUCUUUAAUCAGUUUGCAAAUCUCCAUGUUUCUUACGUACACUUGUCGGCAGAGAUAAUUAUACUUGCUUUUUUGGGGCAGAGAUAAUUGCCCACGUCCAAUUCCAUUCCUAACUCCUAAUUGGCUAAUCCCAAACCCCACCCCAGCCAACCCAAGGCCGCUCACCAGCACAAGAAUAGUCUCCUCUCCAGUAUUGGUAAGUUGACUUGUGGUUCUACACCCUAAAUUCUACGAGGCGCUUUUUCUUUUCCACUUUAACGCCAAAUUCUACGCGGUGCCUUAUGGUUCACACAAUGAUGAGAGAUUUUUCAGUUUAUAGGAACACAGUCCAGUACACUACACUUAUAAAACAACUUCAAGAGGGCUAGUUUGAAAAUAUCCUACUGCAAAAUUUGAUUUGGUUUGGACCAAAUUUUGAUUUAGAUGAAAACUAGCAACGGUGCCUGCGCAUUGCUGUCGGUGUUUAAAAUGUUUUGAUAAUAUGUACACACAAAAAACAUAAUUUAUUAAAGCUCGAUUUCUACACCUAAGAUAGAGGUUGACAGUGUUCAUAAUUAUCAAAAGUUGGCAGCGUCCAAUUGCUCACUGUUCAAAAGAUAGAGAUGAUAUAAACGCUUAAUUCAUGUACAUAAGUUCAUAGUAUCAUGUACUCAAAAUAAUCAUAGUAUCAAGAGAUUGGCAGUCUUCAACUGCUCAUUGUUCAAAUACGAAAAUAUACAUAUGUCCAUACUAGAAGGUUGGCACCGCACAUCUGCUGUGUUUAUGAUUUUUCCUGUUCAAUCUCUGGUCUUGUUUGUUUGGGAAUGGCCAUCCUUUUUCUUGGCCACCAUGCUGUUGAAUUGGUGCCUAUUCUUUAUAGCUUUGCCCAGGAUUUUUCUCUUGCUAUAUAUUACGAAUUGGAAUCAGUAAGAAUUCCAUAUAAAAAGCUAAAUUUGUCAAUCUAUUUAACUUAGUGCGAACUUCAUCAGGCAACCAAGAAGUAUAAUCCUGCAAGGAGUCAGACCGAGCAACACACACUCAUAAAUAAAAGAUUAGGAACUUUGGUUCAGGAUAAACAUAAUGCAAACAGAAGAAUAAAAUUGACAGAAAAUAGAUCGAUGCACAGAGAGAUAGAGGCAUAAAGAGGAACUUACAUCAGCUGUGCUCUCAAAUACAUAUGGUAAUCUGCAUACAAAGAAACAUAAUACUGAAACAGUUAUAAAUCAUCCUAUUCAAACAAAUCAAACGAAAUGCAUAAAGAUUACCUUAGUUUUUGAUUCUAUGAUUUUGUAUUUGACUCCACCUCCACGUUGUUCUUUGGUUGUCUCUUUUACUGAAUUAAGUAAUCGACUGAAUUACUUAAUUCAACUGAAUUUAAUCAGAGAGAUAAAAGCUUCAGUAUAAAAAAAUAUUUUAUGCUCUACACGCAUAGCAAAUCAUCAGUAACCUCCAAGAACCUAAUUGUACGAUAAACACUCUAGCACUAACUACCCAAGAAUUAUAAUCAUGCUUAUUGCCAAAAAUGAUAAACAUGUUUACCUUGACUUCAUUUUUAAUGGCAUAUGUAAUAUACUUUCCAUCUGCAUUAAAAUAACCUUCUUCCCUCUGCUCGUUAAUCAAGUUGAAAGGUUCUGUUUGAAUCCCAUCCACAACAAAGUCCUUGUAAUCCUGCCAAAAGAUACCACCAAUCACUGGCUAUCGCUUCCGUUGAUCCAAUUAGCAGAAGUAUCCAACAAUUUCCUCGACUGAAAAAAAUCUUGCCAAUUUAGAAAAGAACUAUUCCAAAUUACGGAUGUACUCGAUUAAUUUAACCAAGAAUAUGCACGGCACCACCACUAUUAAGAAACAUCAUCAUACAUCAUCAUACAAAGACAAAAGUUUUUACCAUCAGUUUUUAAAUUGCAACCAAAAACAUGCAUAGAAAGAAUAAAAAUGACAACAAAGAUGGCAAAACAAUUAACCACACAUGUUGUUUAUCCAAAAAUGCUGAGAGCUUAUGCUUCUGUGACACAACAAGCUUCCUGCGUCACACACACUAGAUCAAGUAGGCGUCAUGACAUAAAUUGAAAAGCAGACAAGAUCAAGAAGAUCCAAAAUUAUUGAUAUAUAAUUAUAGUAAAUAAUUGCACAUGAAAAACUCUAGAGGAAGAUAGAUGAAUCUCCAUAUCAAGAAACCAAAGAACAUGACACUACUAAGGACCGUUGCUUCACAUGCAUAUCUGCUACUAUUUUAAAACAAUUAUGUUAUAACAAGUAUAAGAGAGAGGAAAAAGUACUACUGAACCGAAAAUGAAAAGGGGGAAAACCUGGAAUGCCAUGCAGUGCCGAAAUCACUACUUAGCAACAAAAGUGCCCUGCUAUGCUUCAUGACGUCACUUUCAAAACUAUUAUCCAAAGAUAAUGACACAUACAAAGACUUCUCAUCCCCAGAUACAUCUGAUUUGCUGUUAAGUGCCUUAUAUUGUCUACUUGCUGCCAUAAACACAUGCUUAGCAGCCUCAUAUAACGGAAAAAGAACUUGUGUUGAAAUCCCCAACUUAUGAUCCCUAUUUCAGAAAACUGAGUUGCCAUCAACUGAGCGCAGCACAGUAUUGUCAUCAGAUGAGGGUGAGGAAUGGCCUGCCUCUUUAUUCAGCUUGGAAACUGGGACGGGUGAAGAAAUCCCACUUCAUCUCUGGGUUCAAUCAAGAGGAAAGAACAAUGUUUAAGACAAUGGCAUUACUACAUAUUCCAAAAACACAACUGAGAACCCUUCCAAAAUUAAAAAAAAAAAGAAAAAAAAGAGCACCUCUACACAAAAUCAUAAUGCACCCACAAUUACACACACAAUUCAAAAACUUUCAGCAUAAGAAUAAGGCAUACUUGGACCGUUAUCGAAAUCCCAGACUCAGUAACAGUAAUAAACUAACACUGAAUCAACGUUUUGAAUUUGAACUAACACUGAAUGGACAUUUUCCAAAAAAUAUGAAAUCCAAGUAAAAUCAAGCUGUUACUUUUACAUAUGCAUGGAUCAACUCAUGCGGGAUCAAAUAUCUGUACUUUUCGACAUGGAAAUUACACUCUGUGAAGGUACACCAACCAAGCACGAAUAAAACCUAUAUAUACAAAACUCUAUGGGGCAUUUCAUCGAACACAAAGUCUGCGUCUUUACUGAAAACAGAGAAGCUAAACCAGCAAUCACUGAUUAUCUACUAACAUACAAGUACGAAUUACUUACAUUUGGGUAUCGGAUUCCAAGCUACGUUCGAAUUGAUUCAGAAGAUCGACCGUGUCUGCUUCGGAACGACGCAGCUCCUCUCCUUCCAUAUUUUCUGUUUGUUUCCCGAGAAAAUCCGAGGGAAAAAGAAAACCCGAGGGAAAAUGACACAUUUAUAUGAUGUUGAAACGAAAUGGUAAAUUAAUUAAAAAAAGAACUACGUGGAAGUUUUUUAUUCGUUGUUGAAAUAAGUUUGCAGGAAAAAGUAAUGAUGCUGGCCGUAGAUGAUCCAGUUUCGGGCCAAUGUCACACUGACACGUAUCCACCUUCUUCGACUUUUCUUCUCUUGUAUAAGAUUUUGGAGCUGCU
rnacentral:lncRNA from 1 species